rnacentral:lncRNA from 1 species
UUGGAAUGGUGGUGAGGGUGGCUAUGGUUUUGGGGUUGGAGUGGUGGUGGUGAUGGUGGCUGGGUUUGGGAGGUGGUUGAGGUGUGUGCGCGAAUUGGGGAAGGUGAAAUUUAAAAGAAAUAUAUUCCAUUUUCAGUUUGAAUUAAAAAUUUUAUCAUCAAUUACAUUUUUUUUAAAAUUAAUUUUAUAUUUUUAAAGGAAUGGACCACAUUGACUAACAUAUACAAACACAAGGACCAAAUUGGCCAAAUUCAUAACACGGGGACUAAAUUGGCCUAUGAGAUAAAACACAGGGACCAUUUUAACAUUUAAGCCUUAUUAAUUUUUGAAGUAAAAAGUCCACAUUAACUAUUAACAGCAAAGGAUAACCAUGGGCCAUGGCCCAAAAGAAGAUAAGAGAUAACUCAGCCAAAAGAAAAAAGACUAAGGACAAGAAAUGUAGAUUACUAUUUUACCCCUCAUACAGUCGUUACUUUGGUUUAUACGGAGAAGCAAACGGAACACACGAGAAGGUGGAGGAAAAAGCCGUGGGUUCUGAAACACAAGAACACGUGUAGGACGGAGAGGAAAAGAUGGAAGAUGUGGCAUCCAUGCAAAUGCAAAUGGGCUUCAAAAACACACAUGAACACCACGAGAACAGCGCGUGACGACCACGUCAAUUGUUUCGGAAUGUCAGACUCCACCCCGCGUUACGUGGAAAAACGUCACCUGAUUUUAUUUUUAUUUUUCUCUCCGCUCCGUCACAAUUUUAACUCCUAAAUUUUAGGAGGCUGUUUAUGCAAUACCGCUCUUGGUUGGGUGGGGGGUGGGUCUAUCAUCUAUGGGCGCUUUCUCAUCAAACCCAGGACCCAGCCGCUACUACUUUUGUUCUUCUCAUUUUAUUUAUUUAUUUAUUGCAUAAUGCGUGCCAUAAAAAUUCAAGCACACAAUAUUUUGGUUAUCAUUGAAUACAAAAUUUAGUGUUACAUUAGAAAAAUGUGUUGACUCUGUUGAUUAAUACUUUACUAAGGUUCAAUGUAUUGACUUAUCUUUGGUUCUUACAUGCAUCUGUGUUUCCAGCUGCUUUUUCUUUUUCUCUCUUUCACAUCUUGAUUUUGUUGGCUCAUUAUGUCUCUCCUUCCCUAAUUAGGUGUAUUUGUUUUUAUCGGUGAAAUUCAACCGUAUCGUUGAGUUUUUUAUUUUCUUAAUAUGUUUAUAUGUAAGAUAAAUUUAGCCUACCUUAUCCGUUCCUAACCGUAGACCACUGGCAUAGAUGGUAACAACUCUACCAUUGAGCUAAAACUCCACUGGCAGUUGUGUCUUUCUCGAUCAUGUUUCGUUUUUUUCCCCUCUUAUGGGUAUGUUAACUGGAAGAUAAUUUUAGAAAUUCAAGACUGCAUGAUUUUAGAAGGAUUGUAUCCAUCAUGAUUGGGUUUUAAUUUCUCAAUCCUGAAUGAAUUUCAUGACCCAAAAACUAUAACAAAAUUGAUUAUAUGGUCCAGCAAAAGAAAUGAUUAAAUGUUUCCAGUAAUUCAAAGUUUGUAAGGGUCGGCCCAGAAAGGUGAUUUCCUUUUGGGCUUUUUCUUUGUUUCUCUUUUUCGUUAGAUAGGGCCCCUUUAAAUGUCUUACAGAUUGUUUCAUAUAAUUCACUGGAGAAAGACAGUAUAUUAUUUAUAAGGCUGGGCCCAGAAAGCCACUAUCUUCAGUCUUCCAUCCUCCAUAAAAAACAGAAUUUCCUAUUUUAACUAAAUAUUAAAAAUGUUAAACAUACUAACAGAAGGGGUGUGACUGUAACAAAUGAAACCUGUAUGGUCUGAGUCUGACUGUAAUUAUGCCAAAUCUUAGGGGGUGUAACUAAAUUUUUUAUUUUUAUUUUUAUUUUCUGUUACAACCUUGUAACUAGUAUUUUGUAUUAUUUGAUGUCAAUAAUUUUAGAGUCAUUAACUUUCUUCUAUCAAUUUUGUUCAUUAAAUAUCAAAGUCUUACUUGUUAAAAAAUGGACAAAUGUUCGGUGUUUACAAUAUUGUACCAUUUCUCUAAAAGAUACGAGACUUAUUUAUAUUGAUGAAUUUUAAUUUUUAUGUCUAAAAAAAUGAUACAUAAAGUGAUGCAAUAAUGUGAUCCUUCUAGCAAUGUCUUAAAAGAUAAUGAAAUCCAUCUCUUGCGUAAAUGAACAUAAUAUUUGACCAACACAAUUUGGUGAAAGUUUUAUGAUGUGUACAUUUCAAUAUUUCACUUUAGUAAAUUGGCCGAUGUUGUAUCGAUGAUUCCAAUAUGAUGAUGGAGGCUCCACCGUCAUAAAACCUUAUAGAGUCGGAUAUUGGGGUUUAGAAAGCAUAAUUGGACAGCGCCUAUUGAAGAGAAAAAAAAGAAGAAGAAAAGGAUUGAAAGCAACCAAAAAAAAAAAAAAAAACAUCAGUCGAGAAAAACUUAAUUGCAACGCGAUAAUAUUAUUUGCUAUCCUCAACCAACAAGCUACGUUUGUCCUAAAAAAAAAAAAAGCCCUUACUCUACGCUAUGUAUAUACAAAAGAGUGCAAGUUUGCAUGCUCAUCAGCUGCAUUUGGUUUUAUAUGUUUCUCUAUUUCUGUCGAAAAGUAUAUAUUUUUUCUGUUACUUCUCUGUUAAGUGUAUCCAAUGCUUAUUCCAUAUGGAUACUUGUUCUGAAAUCGGUGUUCGUAAACCUAAUCCUAAAUAUGUUUAUCAUGCAUUAGUUUUAUCCUCUACUGAUGAUACUGUUGAGCUUACAUCUUUUUCACACGCUAAUAAGCAUAAGGAGUGGUGUCUUGCCAUAGCAGAUAAGUUUAAAGCUCUCCUUCGUGCUAGGACUUGGACUUUAGUCUCUCAUACUCCCACUACGAAUGUGUUGCCGAACAACUGAUUUUUUCAUGUUAAGCAGAAUUAUGAUGACACUCUUCAGCGUUAUAAGGCUCGCUUGGUGGCCAAUGCCUUUCAUCAGAAGCCGGGCCUUAACUAUGGUGAAAUCUUUAGUCCUGUUGUUAAUCAUUCUACUAUUCACCUUAUCUUGGCUCUUUUUGUGCAGUUUAGUUGGCCCGUUUGUCAGUGGGUGAGAAACUAAAGACAUGUCGUAUGCGGUGCAGGUGCCGGCAGCUGGGCUGAGCACUCAGCCAAUGGCGAACCCAGUGAUGAUGGUCAGCCCAUAGUUCCACGCAACAUACUCGGUGGAUUUGGCGAUCACUGAGAAGAUAAUGAGCUUCAAGGAAGGUGCCUUCACAGUCUCCGAUGUCAACGACAAUCUCAUGUUCAAGAUCAAAGACUCCUUGUUCAGCCUUCACGACUGCAGUGUUUUGAUUGACGGCGCAUACACCCCUAUGUUUCUGCUUUCAUCAAAAUUUUAAACAUAACCAAAAUAGUCAUGGCAUCGACGGAUAAAGAAAUCGCAAUAGGCAUGCUUGAAAACAAUCUCAGUGUGUGUGAGUAACCAUGUGCUCUAAUACCAACUGUUAGAUUUUCUAUAUAAGUGUUCAUGAUCUUUGACAGGACCCGCCCCGAAUUUUCCCAAAACCAGAGACGAAUCCUGUGAAAAUUCUGACAUCACCCCGAUGCCGGGCCCAUUUACUAAGGACCGAGACUUUCUACCGAAAUUUCGGCAGAGUCUCCCUUGUAAAUUGAACAUUUCCCAAAAUUUCAACAUGCAUUAAACACAUUUAAUAUAACCUAACCGGUAGCAUGCACAAUGUAACAACAUGCAAUUCACAUUAACGGCCUUCGGCCUUCCGAUAAUUCGAAGCAAACAACCAACCACGCUAUCAAGUCAAUUAACACCUUAAACAAGACAAACAAUAAAUAAAUUCAAUCACACUUAAGAAUGUCAAAGCAAUCCACUACAUUUAAUUUUCCCAACAUCCAACAUACGAGGUUUUAACCUCCUAACACAAACACAUCUCGUUCUCACUCAAAUAGCAGGACCAACAACAAGGUCUGCAUCAUACUCAAUAAUACACAAGCACUACCCUAGGCUGCCUACGCACCCUUAUUGAGAGAUCAAGUCACACGUAGUUUUUUCUACAAAAUCUUGAUUCCAAUCUCCCCAAUAAUCUCAUAAUUUCCCCAUAUGCUGGAAAUUCCGAUGCCACGUAUGGGGUCUGUCAUCCCGCCUGAAAAUCCUACACCACGGGUGACCUGACAAUCACAUAAUAUCACAAUAUCUCCUCAUACGCCGGAACUACCAACACCACGUAUGGGGCCUGUCUGCACGCCGGAAAAUUCUACGCCACGUGGGACCUCAUCAUCAUAUCACAUAAUCUUCCUAUAAGCUGGAACUACCAACGCCACUUAUGGGGUCUGUCAACACACAGAAUAACCUACGCCACUUGUGACCUCAACAUAAUGUCACAAUAUCUCCUUAUACGCCGGAACUACCAACGCCACGUAUGGGGCCUGUCCGCACGCUGGAAAAUCCUACUCCACGUGGGACCUCAUCAUCAUAUCACAUAAUCUCCCCAUACGCCGGAAUUACCAAUGCCACGUAUGGGGUCUGUCAACACGCCGGAUAACCUACGCCACGUGUGACCUCAACAUAAUAUCACAAUAUCUCCCUAUACGCCGGAACUACCAACGCCACGUAUGGGGCCUGUCCGCACGCCGAAUAACCUAAGCCACGUGGGACCUAACAAUCACAGGGUGGUACUUAGGGUAGUACGUUUAGCACUUCAAACAGAUAUACUCUCAAUUAUCUAAAUUAAUAAUAGAGGUAAUCUCAAUUUAGUGAUACCAGUCUAUAGUAGACUGCAACGUAAUUUAAUCAGGAAAAUAAUGUUAUUUUUAGACCAACGAUCAUGCACAUAAACAUAAAUUUCAUAUGUAACACCCCGACUCCAAAUUUAAUCCCUUAUUUAAAUUAUUUAAGUGAAAUUACAAAUUUACCCUUGGGGUAAGGGUAUUUUGGUCAUUCUCUUAUCUGAAAGGAGUUUGGGGCAGUGACUAAUAUUUUUGGGAAGAUCGUACUGAGAUGAGUCUGUAGACACGUAGUAGGCUCAAUUUGGAGUUAAAACGAAGAUGUUACGAGCAAAACAAGUUCAGUGGCAAAACCGUAAAUAUUUUGAAAUGAGAUUUUUUUAUAAAAAUCAGAUUCUCUCUCUCUCUCUCUCCCUGCACAAAAACAGCCCUCUGUUACUGUUCAUCGCGGUGGUUUUUGGGCCACCACCGUCGUAUCCGGCCACCACUUGGGGUGGCACCGGUCCCAAAAGAACCGUGCCAUCUUCCUCUUCCCAUCCCGACCAAUCUCAGCCACUGGAACCACCUAUGCUCGCCGGAAAAUGCAAAAAUCCGACCGGUUUUAACCCAAAAUUCAAGGAGCUCGAUCUCUCUCCUCCGGCCACCGAUUCAAACGAGUAAGGUAUGGAUUUCUACCUAUUUUCCAUGCUCUAGCUGAUGGUUGAGUAUGAUUGCAUCGAUUUUGAGCGUAGGUAAUUCGAUUUACGAAUUGAAAUUCGGCCGAUUUUGGGAUUGCAAUUACAGCCACUUCCGAUCAGUUUUUGGGGUAGGUCCAAGAACAAAAGUGGCUCCAAAUAGGGUGUUAUACCUAGGGUAGGAGUUUGGAGCCGUGGUUUUGAGAUUUCUCGGUAACGCGUUAUCGCUUUGGGCACCCAGCGCUGCCGGCGCGUGUGGCGGAGUGUGGGCGAGGGUAGUGAAGUGGCACUAUGUCUCGAUGAGAUCCUUAGGUUGUCACGAGUGCGUAGGAUUUCGCGGAUCUCAAUUCGGACGUCGUUUGACUAUCGAACGGAUAUCGCCUAUUGUGCGUUAUCCGAGUUCGAUAGAUUGGGACCGUUGGAUGGUCUUGAAUUUAAUAUAUGUUAAUCUAGGUAUUUUUAGGAUUGUGUAGGAAUUCACGGAUCGUGAAUCGGAGCCUCGGAUGUUCCGAUUUAAUAAUUUAAAGUUUAUGUUUUAUAUUAACCGUCAAAUCGUGCGAUCGUGAGUGAUCUGACCAUCCGAUCUGAGCCAAACUCGCAGGACGAGUGUCCUAUACCUCGUAGAACCCAUAGGAACUUUCGGAUCGGAAUUUGGAGGUCGUGGGCCCAUUUGACCAGGGUUAGGGUAGUUUGACCCUUGGUUGACCGUGAGUCUCCCGGAGUAAUCUCACCUUCCCAGGGGGAUUAUCGGGUGCUAGACUAUUGUCGAGAUUUACACAAUAUUAGAAUUAAUAUAUAUAUUUAUAUACGUUUGUAAAGGUAUAAAAGGAGUCUAGAAUGUCAGUUUGAAGUGCUAUACGCACUACCUUAGGUACCUCCUCGGAUUUUGGUUACACUACAAGCACCACCCUGUGAAAGUUAGGUCCCACGUGGCGUAGGUUAUCCGGCGUGCGGACAGGCCCCAUACGUGGCAUUAGUAGUAUCGGCGUAUAGGGAGAUAUGUGAUAUGAUAUGCAGGUCUUGCUUGGCGUAGGUUAGCCAGUAUGGGGAGAUCUUGUGAUAUUAUGUUGAGGUCGCACGUGACGUAGGUUAUCCAGCGUGUCGACAGACCCCAUACGUGGCGUUGGUUGUACCGGCGUAUGGGAAGAUAUGUGAUAUGAUAUGCAGGUCUCGCGUGGCGUAGGUUAUCCGGCUUUGAGACAGGCCCCAUACGUGGCGUUAGUUGUACCGGCUUAUGGGGAGAUAUUCUGAUAGUAUAGUAUGGUCGCACGUGGCGUAGGUUAUCCGGCUUGUUGACAGGCCCCAUACGUGGCGUUGGUUGUAUCGGUGUAUGGGGAGAUUAUGUGAAAUACAGAGAAAUGAAUAAAGGUAUUACCUAUGUGUGGAAUUGGGUUUUAAGGAAGAACUACGUGUGGCUUGAUCCCUCAGUGAGGGUACGUAGGCAGCCUAAGGUUAUUAGGUGCAGCCGCGGACAUAGAUGUGAUUGUGUUAGGAGGCUAAAACCUCGUAUGUUGAAAUUGAAAAAGUUAGAUGAUGUAUGUUGAAAUUUAGUAGUCAUAUUUUAUAUUUGAAUUUAUCGUUUGCCUUGUUUAAGGCAUGAAUUGAUUUGCUAGCAUGCUUGGUAGUUGAGAAUUAUAGGAAGGCCGAAGGCCGUUUAUGUGAAUUGCAUGAAAUUAUAUUGUGCAUGUUGCCAGUUGUGUUUAUUAAAUGUGUUUUUAUGCAGGUUGUAAUUUUGGGAAAUGUUCAAUUUACAGGGGAGACUCUGCUGAAAUUUCGGCAGAAAGUCUCGUACCUUUAUUCCAUUUUGGGAAAAAUGGUAUAAUUUUAGAAGUGGGCCCGACAUCGGGGUGAUGUCGGGAAUUUUCACAGGAUUCGCCUCGGGUUUUGGGAAAUUCGGGGCGGGUCCUUUCAUCGUAAAGAUCCUAGAACAAUUUAAAUAUUAUUUAACGCUUGUUUUCACAUAAAUUUCAUAAAAUACUUUAUUUAGGAUCAAAUAAUAUUAAUUAAUGAAAAGUAACAACCUCUAAGGAAAAUCCUAAGUAGAAUCAAUUUUCAAUUUAACCUCAAAUAACAAUUUAAAUUCGAUAAAAGGUUAUCCUAAUACCUUCCGAAGGGUGAAACUGCCUCGGAAGACUCAUGGCCAACCGAGGGGUCCAACUACCCCAACUUGGUCCAACGGGCCCACAGGGCCCAUGACCCCCAAAUUCCAAUCCGAAAGUUCCUAUAGGUUCCACAAGAUUUAGGAUACACGUCCUGCAAGUUUGGUCUGGAUCGGACGGUUGGAUCGCUCACGAUCGCACGAUCGGACUGUUAUUAGGAACCUAGCCCUAGGGUUGGCAUUUUCAGAGUAUCCGGGACUCCGUUUUACCAUAUGUCGAAUCUCAUACGAUCCUAAGAAUGUAUAGAUUAACAUAUAUUAAAUUCAAGACUAUCCAACGGUUCAAACCUAUCAAAUCUGGAUAACAUACAAUAGGCGAAAUCCGUUCGGUGUUCGAACGUCAAUCAAAUUGGAAUCUGAGCACACGUACGUGCUCGGGACAACAAGUGGAUUGCAUCAGGACACAAUGACCCUUCUACAGUGCCCACGCGCCGCCACACGCGUUGGUAGUGAGUGAGUGUCCAAAGCGAUUACGCAUAACCAGAAAAUCUCAAAACCACAGCUCAAGACUCCUACCAUAGGUAUAACACCCUAUUUGGAACCACUUUUGUUAUUGAACUUACCCCAAAAACUGACCGAAAGUGGCCGAAAUCUCGAUCCUAAAACCGGUCGAAAUCCAAUUUGAAAAUCAAGCUACCUACGCUAGGAAUUGAUCGAAUCCUACCCAACAGGCAGCUAGAGCAUGAAAAGUAGGUGAGAAAUCAUACCUCAUUCAUCGAAAUUGGUGGCCAGAGGAGGGAGAACGACGUCGGAGAAGUUCGAAUGAAACCAGCCGCUUCUUCUCCAUUUUCUGGCGAAAUUACGACGGCUGGCGGCGGGGCCUGGCUGGGGUUGGAAGAGGAUGGUGGCCCGGUCAUUUUGGUACCGGCCCCGUUGACAUUGGUGGUGGGAUGAGAGAACGGCCGGCCAAAACGUAGCCAGCUGCUGCUGUCGCACAAGAGAGGAGAGAGAGAGAGAGAACCAGAUUUUUAUCAAACCCUUUUUGCAAUAUUUACAAUUAUACCACUGAGGGUAUUUUGAUCGUAUCUCUCUCGUGACAACUCCGAUUCGAGCCCACCACGUGUCUAUGAGCUCGUCUCGCCGUGCUCUACGUAAAGGUACAGUCGAAAUUCUCAAAUUUCUUCCCGGUCAAAAAGUCAACUUUAAACCUAAUAAAAUAUUCUAUGGACAAAAUGGUAUUUUCUCUGAAUAAAUUAGUAUUUACUAAUUUAUUUAGGACUGGGUCGUUACAAUCUUUCAUACAACCUGAAUUAAAUAAAAGACAUACCUGGCGUCAUCUUCCUUGCAUACACAAUUUCAGAACUUAUUCAAUUGCGCAGUAGCAACUUUGGCAAAAGACAUGAACAACUCAGAACUUCUGCUCUCUCACAGAAACUGUUUCAGUUCUCUCUUUAUGAUGAGAUUAGGUUUAGAGAACAUAUCUGACGAGAGCAGGGUCUUAAGCUUAUAUAGGGCUACGUCAAGUCGUCUCUACUCAUCACCGAGGGCCGACUUGAUUAAUACUCUAAGCCCAUCAAACAACGGUUCACGCAGAAAGAAAUAAAUAGGACCCAUUUAAUUGACUUCAAAACUUUCUAUAUUUCACAAAGUCUUGGACUCCAAAAUAUAACCUAAUUUAAUCCCCUAUCAAAUUUGAUAUAAUUUAAUAUCUAAUGCACUGAUUUGAAUUGGAAUAUAACUGCGACCAAUUACGGUGGCAGCCAACUUGGCACCCUUGAGAGAAUAAAAACGCUAAAACGAGGCGGUUGAUUUAAGAACAUUUUGAUGCAAAUGUCGACUAGGUUCUAACUGUUGAGCCCCCCCGUAUUCAAGACGAAGAUACAUACAACAAAAAACUUACAUAGAUUAAAGUUUCUUCCUUUACAACCAACAAGAGAGUGAGAGAGAAAAGAAAAAAGCUUUCUAAAAUAACAAUAUUGGGCUGAGAGCCAACAUUGUGAUGGGCUACCAUUGAAUUUGCCAACAGAGCUUGUUAUUUGUAGAAAUGGCCCCCUCACCCACAAACCCUUAAUUACAAUAUGUUUGAUUUAGGUUUGGAUAUUGGGCUGACAUUUUGUUGGUGAAAAGUUAACAAUUUGUACGUGAGGGAGAAUCAGGAUGUUCAUUCUUCUUUCUUCUUGUGAUACUUUGCGUGGGAAACAUAUUUGGUGGGUUUUUUUUUGUUUUGUUUUUUUAAUCAAAUUGAAACUUCAACGGUACAAUCAAAGACAUCAAUAAGAAAUCUAAAAUACCAAUCUCAAGAGGGCAACAAACUAACGUAUUAAAAGCAAAACUAACGCAGACAAAAGCCGCACUAAAACUGCUAGCCCAUAUCACCACAAUUAGUUAUAAGCCCAAACAAAGCCCACAAACCCAAUAUAACCAAAACCCUAAAUCAACCCAUGCGCCUAAACAAACUCUACCACCACCACCACCUGAAGAAGAGCUGUUGCGGCCAUACCCACCACCGCAUCCAUAACAGAUCUGGAAAAAAUAUGAUUUACAACGAUCUACUUGCGCAUAAGAGUGAACAAAUAAAUGAAAACAAUAACUUUGCCAAAGAACAAUUGGGUGAUUUGCAGCUACCUUGGUCAAAAACGAUGUAGAAUCAAAUUUAAAGAACAUGAGCGGCGUCAGGGAGCGAAUUUUGGGAGUAGGAUUUGAUUGAGAACAUAGAAUAAAAGGAGUGAUGAGGAACUUCAAUCUAACCAUGGCUUAGAAGAAACCACCACAAGAGGCUUUUUAUUCAAACCGCCCCAGUAGACUUAUUCACUAACCUAAAAGGAAAAGACGAUAAGAGAGGAGGAUGAGGAGCAGUGACACUUCUUCCUCCUCCUCCUUUUAUGGAAUUUUUCUUUAAAACUCACAGAAAGGGAGAGCGGCUAGAAUUGGCUACAAACUACAAACUACAAUACCUGUUUGGGCCUAAAUACAAUGUUUUUAUUGUCUGUGGUUACUUGGUCAACAUUACCAGAAGGCAGUUUUUGAAAAUAGAAACUGGGACUUGGGUUUGCUCUUUAUGAUCAUUAUCACUAUUUCAUGAUUUCAAUGAACCACAAGUUUUUUUUUUGGGUGGGAGGGGUUAAAAUAUUAUCUUGGUCACUAUGGAAAAGUAAAAGGACUGGCGUUCCAAAGUGCCUAAAGGAAUAGUUCUUCGGACUUCCUUUGCUUUCUUUUGCUGCAAUGUUGAGAAUUAAAGAGAACCUAUUGUUUUCGUGAAACAUGCAACACCCAACAAAGAAAAAGUAAAAGAAAAGGUAGGAAUAAAGUAUAUGAUCGAGAUGGUGAAAGCUUGAAGCAACCGCGGAAAAAGAUGAAGAUUCUUCAAAAUAAAUAAGGCAUUUUCAUCUUAGAGUAUCUCUAAAGGAGAUGUCAAAUGCAAAAUGUUAAAUUUAAAUUUGAUGGCUUAUGUGGCAAUUUGACACUUUGAAAAAAAUUUAACUCAACCUAAAAUGCCAAAUAUCAUAUUAUUUUAUUAUAUUUUUAAAAGCAAAUGGGAGUAAAAAAUAUUAAAAAAAUAUUAGACAUCAAGCUUUUUGAUAUGUUAUUUUUGACAUCUCUUCCGGCUUUCAAAUCUAUGUAAGAUAAACUACUCGAUUAGAGCAACUUUAACCUUCAAUUUUUAUCAUUUUAUGUCCAUGUGACAAUUUGGCAUAUCAAUUAGAGAUGCUCUAACACACAAAAUUAAACGUUCUCUGGCUUCUUCUAGUAUCCCAAACUUUUUUGUCUCCCAAUUUACACUAAAUUUAGAUCUUCAUCUACAUUCAAUUGCUAAUCGAUGUCUACUGUUCCUUGGGAACGACUGAAAGUAUUUAUUCACAAGCAGAAUCCUAUGGAAAGGUCCUUAGUUUCUCCUUAUACAAUAAUUAAAAAGAAAAAAAACCUUUCAAAAUGGUAAUGGUAUCUGUAAUUAAUGGUGGUAUACGAUAACUUGGAUUCUUAACGGGCUAGCUUGUUUUAAGCCCAUUUAAUAUUUUAUAUAUUUUUAGAGAAAAAUAAUAUAAUAUAAUUAUAUUUAUAUCUUAAAUUAAGUUUAAUUAUUUCAUUUUUAUAAUUAUACACUAGCCUCUUUGCAUGCACUUCUGCGCAUGCGAGAGGCUUUUUUUUAUUUAAAAAAAUUAAAAUUUAUUUUAGAAUUAAAAAAGAUAAUGGGUAGUUGUGUUACAUAAAAAUAUGAUCAACUAUAUGAUUUUUCUUUUAAUUUUAAUUUUUUUAAAAAAAUAUGAAAAAGUGUGAAUUUACCAUAUUAUCCUCAUUUACUUAAUAAUUUUAAUUUUUAAAUGUUUGCAUUACGAAGGGCAUUUUCUGGUAUUUUGAAUGUUUCAUAAUUCUAUGCCUUUUGCUUUAUAUAUAUAGAUUUUAAAAAUCAGUGUUUUCUUUAUAAAAAUGUUAAACAAAUAAAAGGAAGUGUCAUGAGCGCAACAAUCUUUGAAGUGUGCUUAUUAUUUACACCAAAGCAUUGAGAUGCUCUAAACUCGACGAAAUUUCCUGCACUGGAACUCUCUUUACUAUGUUCACACAUGCCAGAGGGGCAUCGUCCCUCUUUGGUUUGCCUAUAUAUAAGUCUAAGCUAGCUCUAGCUCAGCAGAUUGAACAUCGUCAAUAUAUAGUCUGAGGUUUUGUCAAGUCCUUUGCUGAACUGUCAUUUUUUUGUUUACUGAUUUGUUGUCUAUAGAUCAAUUCAGAAGUAAGUUUGCCUAUAUAUAGUGUAAGCGCACACAUAGAUAUACUAGGGAAUUUACGAGCUAGCUCUAGCUCCGCAGAUUGAACAUGGCAGCUUUAGUUUCCCCGAUUAUUUCUACUCUGCAACUUCUUAACCAGCCAAAGCCGUCUCCUGAAGAAGGUAUAUAUAUACUCAUACUGGAUUUACUGGGGUGGUGUUUUUCCAUUUAUUCUUUGUCAAGUUUAUUUGUUGUCGCAUGCAAGUAAAGUCCAGCUGUGAAACAGGGCAUAAUAAUAAUAAUAAUGAUGAGAGCGUUGUGAAUGUGAAGCAUGGUUCUUUGUACGAAAGUUUGAAGUCUGGUGAUUGGAAUGCUGCAAAGGAGUAUAUUGAUCGACACCCCGAGUCACUAACACAUAGAGGUUCAUCAAACGGUGGGACAGCUCUUCACGAGGCAAUCCAGUGGAAGCAGUUACACAUUGUGGAAGAGUUGUUGAAGCUGAUGACAGUAGAGGACUUGGAAAUUGAAGAUGGCUAUGGUUUCACAGCUUUUUUCUGUGCUUUGAUAAGAGGAAUGGCCCCAAUAAUUGCCAGCAUGGUUAAAAAGAACGAGAAUUUAGUUACCAUGCGUUUAACGACCGACUUAGGCAGUAUGACUCCAGUUUUAUACGCUUGUGUUUUGGGCAGCUGGAAAGUAGCUCGCUUUCUCUAUUCUCGCACUCCAAUCCAUGUUUUGACUCAAGACAAUAAUGGCCGCGAAGGCGCUGAACUUAUUUCCCAGUGCUUUUUCCACAGAAAUAAAUUUGGUAAUUUUGACAUCAUUAGUUUCAAAUAUAUAUAUAUAUAUAUAACCAAUUAUAGUAUAUGUUGAUUUGUGGCUGCUUAUUUGAUGAACCAUCUAUACUAUAGAUAUUGGAUGGGAUUUACUUCAGCAUUGCCCAAAAUUGGCCCUUACUGAAAAUUACUUCGGGCACUCCCCUCUAAAUACACUGGUUGAUUUGCGUUCCGCAUUUCCAAGUACAGUUCCUCUCAGAUUUUGGCAACGCUGGAUCUAUAACAGUUAGUAUUUUGUAUUCUCUUCUUUUUUCUCUCGUAUCUCUUCUCUUCGUAGUAUCAAACUAAAUUUUUCGUGUUAAAGUUACCAACUAAAUAUAUGUGUGUGAUUUGAUUUAUUUUGUAUUGCAAGGAUAAUCGAAUUGAGACUGAAAAAAAAAGUAGAUAUUAAUUACAUUAAUACGAAAUGCUUCUAUUUUUUCUCUAUAUAUAUUCAUUAGAUUUCAUUAGAUUUGUUAUGUACAUAUGAAGGAGUGCAAGUCUGAAUAUUCAUUGGCUUUCAUUGUUCACAAGACAGUGUCUUCACACACACACACACACACACACACAUAUAUAUAUAUAUAGAAAUAGAUCUAGAAUAAUACUACUUCAGACAAGUAGGAAAAUGUAUUGAUUGGAUUGUGUUGCUUUCUCUUUAGAUAUACAAGUACAACAACCUCAACCUGCUCCUAUCAACUCUAAUGUUCGUGUAAAUUUUGAAGAACUAGAAGAUGACAAAAGAAAUCGAAGGGAUCUCAUUCCCUCAGGUACGUUACCCAUGUUCAUCAUACACGUACAAUUAGUAUAUAUAGAGUAUAGCAGUCGAAGUAAAAAAGUUCUAUAAGCAUUUUUGUAUGUUUUGCUUUUCUUUUUUAUAAACAUCUACGGAUUUCACAAUGCAGUUACGGGUUUCUUCCAAGGAGUUGUUAAGAAUCUUCUCAAACUGUUAGGUAAGAAUCUUCUCUAGCUACAUCGAACAUUAUUGAUUCUUGGUUUAAUUCUCACUUUUGUAAUACGUUGUAGAUUAAUAUUGUUUUCACUGUUAACCUAGGAAUCCAUGACUUGCAUGAAAUGAGAUUGGGCCAUGACCGAAAUCUUCAAAUUCUACGUCUCGUGUGUGACGUGGUAAAAAGUACAAAUCUUGACUGGAAGAAAACUGCCUUCGUGAAAAAGGCAAUCCUCCGAGCAGUAGAAGGAGGACAAGUGGAGUUUAUCAAGGAGAUGUGUAAGGCGAAACCAAGAUUACUACUAACGCCGAUGGAUGAAACAGGCAGAUCAAUAUUUCAUUAUGCCGUUGAAUGUCGGCAAGAAAAAGUUUAUAAUCUUAUAUAUGGGAUCAGCGAAUAUGAUAGGAAUGCUAUCUUAGUGUGUGCAGAUAGGUCUAACAAUACUAUCCUACAUGCAGCAGGGAGUUUAUCUGCACAUCUUAAUCAUAUUCAAGGUGCAGCUUUGCAAAUGCAAAGAGAGCUACAAUGGUUCAAGGUCAGAUUUUCUCACUUUAUUACAUAUACGUAACCUUAGACAAUUACUUUGUUACAUAUAUACGUAUAGGCUAUAUAUGUGAUGUGAGUUUUCUAAAUGAAAUGUAGGAGGUAGAGAGUAUUGUACCCUCGCCGGCCUUAGAAGUUAUAAAUGUUAAUGAGAAAAUGACAGCACGAGAAGUAUUCACCAAGAACCACAAAGAAUUGGUGAAGGAAGGAGAAGAGUCGAUGAAAGGGACAGCAACUUCUUGCACAUUUGUAGGUGCCCUCAUUCUUACCAUUAUGUUUGCUGCUGCAUUUAUAGUUCCUGGUGGAAGCAAUCAAGAUACAGGUUUUCCCAUCUUCUUAAGAAAGAAGUUAUUUAGGGUUUUUAUAAUUUCAGAUUCUAUAUCACUCUUUUCUUCGACGACAUCAGUGAUGAUAUUCUUGGGAAUUCUCACAUCACGUUAUGCAGAAAAUGAUUUCCUCUGGUCUUUGCCCACGAAAAUGAUAUUAGGCCUUUUCACCCUUUUUUUAUCUAUCGCCACUAUGAUGGUUGCUUUUUUUUCAACUAUUCUUAUUAUGCUUGAGGGAGAAUCAUGGGUAUUUAUUCCAAUCAUUUUGCUUGCUAGCGUUCCAACAAGCUCGUUUGUGUGGAUGCAAUUCCCCCUGUUUCUUGACAUUUUUAUGUUUACCUAUGGAAGAGCAAUAUUUGACAAGAAAUGCGGAGCUUGGGAAUAAAAUCAUGAUUAUGCGGUGUGAUGUUUGUCUUAUGAUGUCAUAUGAUGUUUGUCUUUGGCUUUGUCACUUUUUAUGAAACAUGUAAAGAAAACACAAUGUACUUGUGUGGUUCUAUAUAUAUACAUACAUAUAUCUAUUUCGUUGAAAUAAAACCAUCAUUAUAAUUGACUUUUGUUUGAUGCAUACAUUUUUGUUUGAAUGCUUUAUGAAUUAUGUAAUUGGUUCUCAUAAAAUUUUAACACGCUAAGAACCAAUUAGAAAAUAACAAGUGGCAAGUUUUGAGUUUUUCUCUCCAAAUAGGCUCUAUAUGAAUUUUUGUAUAAUAUGUCCUGUUAACAUGGGUUUUUGAAUAAAAAAAAUUUUGGGGCCUUAAAUGGGUUAUAGAUUGUUGUUUAUGUAUCCUCUUUCGUGAAUAAAAAUUAAAAUCAUUCACUGGCCAAAAUAAGUAUAUAUUUCUAAGGCUAGGUUUCAAGACUUGGUCUAUUUUGAACUGUUCUGAAAAGAUUAAAAGUAUUUUAUGGCAACUAAAAGUAUUUUUGAUAAUAUUUGAGAGAAAAACUUAAAAGUGCUUCUUCGGUAAGAACUUGAAUUUGCUUUCAAACUUCCAACAAUACCCCACAUUUGAAAUGCAAAAUUUUUUUAGACAAAUAUAUGCAGACUCAACACUGGAGAGGAAAUUAGAUAAAAUACACAUCAGGAUAAGUGUCUUUUGGACUUGGACCUGCUAAAGGCACACACACAUGAUGAAAGCCCACGUCUUCACACAUCAUCUACCACUCCACAUCUAUCUAAGUUGAACUCCAUUUUGAGCAUCAACAAUACUAAACAUUUUUAUAUACAUAUAUUUUUUUUGUACAGUUCUAAACAUUUUUAUAUUUGAUUGAUACGUACACCCAACAAUAAUCUUUUUGGCCUAACUCCCAAAAAUAAUUGAAACGAAGCAAAUUAUGUCAUUUUGUUCCAAAUAACUCUAAUAAUCCUUGUCAGCAGUCUCGCCAGCAGUUUGAAAAUUUCAUAAUCUUAAAAGAAUCAGACAUAAUUAAAGACUUCAGAUAAAAAUAAGCAUAAUUAAAGACCUCAGAUUAAAACAAAAACAAAAAAACACAAGUAGACUCAUAAUUUGGUUAAUCAUGCAUCUCUUGCGUUAUUUUAGUCACAAGUUGUUUGAUUUUCUUUUGUAAGCAAAAGGUGUUUGAAUUGGAACGCUUCACAUUCUUCUCUUGGAUGGUAAAGAAAACAUCACAUAAUCUUCCGGAAUAGAUUGGAUGUGAGAUUUUUCUUUCAUUCAACCCAAGUGUUCGGUGAAUUUUGGUUUUGAUUACUUAAUUAUACCUAAAAAUAUACAUACCUAAUUAAAUCACCAAAAUGAAUCUUUCAAAACCGAACAGGGUUUUAGAAAUACCUUCCAAAAUCUUUCUGAAUUUCGAUAUCCAAUCCGUUUUAGGAAACUCGGAAUUUUCAGAAUUUUUGAAAAAUAGUUCAAAAUUUUAAACAUGCCUAACCAUUUGAAUUGUUAAAAUUGGCUCAAAAUUUAGAACUCAUAUUGAAUGUUUGAAAAACUCGAAUACUUGGAUGUUGUUAUCAUUUAUGAAAUAACUUGUCUAUAUCUAUUUUGUCAUCAAAUUAUAUUUAGUUUAACAUGAAAGUAGUAAUUGUAUGUAGUCUAAGCUUGAAACCUCAAUAUAUUUUGGAAUUCGGAAAUUUUCGGAAUCUCGAGAUACAUUCCAAUUUCAAUCCAACUUUUUUUUGGAAUUUUUGGAUAUCAGAAUUGAUUUGGACUUGCCAAAAUUGGAAAUUUAAUUUCUGAUUGGAAUUGGUCGAAAUCGGAUUUUCCAGUCCAACUUGCACCCUUAGCCUAGACCUUUGAUGUUCUCCCAAGUGGUCCUGGGUUCAAGUUCUCAUAAUACUCAUGUGUGUGAGUUUCCCUCUCUCUAUUCCUAACUUUGGCCAAAAAAAAAAAACCACCAAAAUGAAAAUAUAAUCUAAUAUCUAGUGAAAAGAAGAUGUCAAUAUAAAUUUUUUUAUCUUUUAUUUAUUAAAUAAUUCGUUUCUCUAUUUGACAAGGUUUAUUUCUAUCCUUUUAGGGAAUAAUAUCACUAAAUAUCCCCUUAGAUUAUAUUAGUAUACAAGGUGUACUACUGUAGUAUUAUAUAAUUACUCCUUUCUAACUUUGACAACAACAAAAAAACUCAAUAAUGGUCAAGGUGCUCGUUCAGUGUACCUUCCUUAAUAUCCUUCCCACCAAAGAAUGUUUGCUUAGUAAGGGUGUUCAAGGGGAUAUUGGUGAUUGUGUCCUGUGCGGCGCUCGGGCGGAGACACUUCAUCACGUUUUUUUUGGAUUGCUCCUUCUCAGCUUUAAUUUGGCAGAACAGCCCUUCGCAGAGUGACUUGCGGGAGCGCGAUUCACAGGACCUUAUUGGAUGGCUAGAACAGAUUCUGUUGGGUGGGGAUUGUCAUAAAAUUGAGCUUCUGUUUAUGAUCAUGUGGAACCUCUGGAAUGAGCGCAACACUGUUGUCUGGACAGCAAAACGUCGAAGCCCCUGUGAAGUUGUGGAUGGUGCUGUGCGGUUGUUUUAUGAAUUCGAAGAGCAUCAGCCUACCCCGUCAAUGUCUAUUUCUCGAGCUAAGGCAAAAUGGCAAAAACCUCCUCUGAGUGCCGUUAAGAUCAAUGUUGAUGGGGCUUUUCAGGUGCAAACUGGCAUUAGGGGUGGGGGAUUAUUGCUCGUGAUUCUGCUGGAUGCUUUGUGGCUGCACGUGCAUGCGAGUUCAGCCAUAUUUCUUCCCCGGAACAUGCUGAAACUCUCCCCUCCGCGAGGCCCUCCUCUUUGCCAAAGACUUUGGCCCGGGUCCUAAGCUGAUUGAGAGUGAUGCACAAGGCGUGCUUCAGUCUGUUCAAGCUACGAUGGAGGAUAGAUCCCAGUUUAGCUGUUUGUUAUCCGAUUGCAAGUUUUUACUUUCCCAGUUAAGAAUAUUUCCAUUCAGUUUGAUUACAGAGAAACUAAUUGAGCGGCACACCGCCUAGCUCGUUUGGCACUCACCUUACCAGAAACAUUAUCGUGGCAUCAGGCCCCUUGAUGCUGUGUGUGAUGUUUUGGUGGAGGAUAGUAUGUUACCUUUGCUUUAUCUUCAAUGAAAUCGCUUUUUCUCACCCAAAAAAAAAAAAAAAAAAAAAAAAAACGCAAUAAUGAGAUUCCUGUCCAAAUUCAAAUUUCCAUUACUAGACAACUAAAAUUGUAUUAAUUAGACAUAUCAACUGCAGUGGCACACGACAAAUUAUAAGAGCUAUACUCUAUUAAAUUGUAAUCAUCGAUGAGAUUUCCAGGUCAGCCCUUGAGACACCUUUUGCGACUUGGAGUGUUCUUAUAUGUCUUUUGCCUAAUCUAUUUCUUUUUUAAUUAAUUUCUGAUUUGUUAUUAUAAACAAACAUAACGAAAACAUACAUUAUUGUAUGUCUUUUUUUUGAACGAAACAUUAUUGUUUGUCUAUAAAUUAGAAGUUUGGCUACUGCAUUUGGAUGCACAUAGUGGAAUUUAUAAGCUCCAUCCUUUUGAAGAUUUUCCCAAUUCAGUUUGUGAGUAGUUAUACUUUGCUUCACUUCACUAUUCUCUUUUCUUUUGUCACAAUUUUUCCUUUUCUUGUUAAAAACAUUUGACUGUUUAUUUUUGGUAUUUACUACUUAUAAUAGUGUGGGCAAUAGAUUCUUGGCAUAAUUUAAAGGCUUAAGUGCAAUAGUGUCUCCUGAAAUAUUGGUCAAUUCCCACUAAACCCCCUUAAAGUUAAAGUGACCCACUUUGCCCCAUUGACCAUUGUUUUGUGUCUCACUUUGCCCCUCACGGUCAAGUUUGUUAAAAACUCCGUUAAAAAUGUUGACGUGGCACCAAUAGGACCCACUAUUUUGCUAAACUAAGUGCCAUGUGUGAAGGAAAAAAAAAUUAAUAUAAAAAAGUCUUUUAAAAAACUUAAAUUAACUAUUAAAAAUAAAACUAAUACUUUAAAACCAAAAAAUCCCCAAUUCCCCUCCUUCAACUCCAUUGAGUUAAACCUAAUAAAAGUUAAGAAUCAUUUGCACUAAUACCCCCUGAGAGUUUUGGUGUUUUCAAAAAUCCCCUGAGGUUUUAAAAAUUACAUAAACACCCCCUUAGGUCUUAAAUUGUUUUCACAAAAUCCAUUUUCAUUGAUUUUUCAUCAAAAGAUUAAUGAUUUUAUAUAUAAAAAAUUCUUAAAAUGACAAAGUUAGCCCUUGAGAUUAGAUUGCAUAUACAUUUAUUGAGGUUGAUUUUGUUAUUUGCAAAAGUUUUUAUGUAUGAAAUCAUCAAAUUUUGGAUAAAGAAUCAAUGGAAAAGGGUUUUGUGAAAACAAAUUGAAACCUUAGGGGGUGUUUAUAUAAUUUUUGAAACCUUAGGGAGUCUUAUGAAAACAUUAAAAACCACAAGGGCUGUUAGUGUAAAUAACUCAAAAAGUUUUGACAUCUCUAGCAUUUUGGUCGCUUUGAAUUUUGUCUUAGAGAAUUAUUUAUUCCUUCUCCUUUCACCCUUAUUGUACAUAUUGCAUGGAAUUUAGGCCCAGUUUGGGAUUGCUGUCACUUUUAAAAAAAGUUGUUUAUGCUGUGCUUUGAAAAUAAUUAGCUGUAAAGUAAAGCAGCUCCAUGUUUGGUAAAAAAUAUUUUUAAAGUGCUGUUAGUACAAAAAGCAGUGUCAAUACCGUUUGGUAAAUUUUAAUAUAAAAUUAUUGUAACUGUGAAUAAUGACUAAAAUAGACAUGAUGUUAAAAGUGUUAUGUACUAAUCAUGUGGUGGUAGUGGAGAUAGUGGUGGUGAUGAAGGUGGAGUUGGUGGUUGUAGUAGUGGUGGUGGUGGGGAUGGCGAUUGUGGAGGUGGUGGUUGUGGUGGUAGUGGCAGCAUGGUGGUGGUUGUGGAGGUGGUAGUUGAUGUGGAGGUUUUGGAGCAGGAGGUGGUGGUGGUGGUAGUGUUGGUGGUGGUGGUGGUGGUGGUUGUGGUGGUGGUAGUGGUGGUGGAGGUGGAGGUGGAGGUGGAGGUGGAGGAGGUGGUGGUGGCUGUGGUUGUGGAGGUAGUGAAUGUGGUGGUGUAAGUGGUGGAGUUGGAUGUAGAAGUGGAGGUGGUGUCAUUUUUUAAAAUGAAUGCUGGUAUUUUGGGAAUUAAAAAAAUUCAUUAAAAGUUCAUCUCUGCUUCUUUUGAAAGCAGCUUUGAAAAGUAACUUAGAACCUGCUUUUAAAAACUGCUGUCAAAAGACCACUGUUUUAAAAAUAAUCAGAAUAUUUUAUUUUUACCAAACACCUUAAACUGCUUAACUUUAAAGUGAAUGAGGUUUUUGGCAAAAAAAAAGCAAUCCCAAACGGGGCCUUAAUUCAGCGUCAUCCAAUCUUGGCUUUUACUAGAGACUAUUAAGGGCAUUAUCCUAUCAAUGCAUUGGCUAGUGCAUGCUCUGCAUUUCUAGGUGGAAUGCGACUCAAUUUAUGGCAACAAUGGAUCUAUGACAAUUAGUACUACUUGUCCUGUAAAAUUAGCUUACAUCAUAUAAAAGUCAAAUAAAGUAGGGUAAAUAUUCAUUUAUGCUCGGAUAUGCUCAUAUUUGCUCACCUUCUCAUUCUUCUCCAAUAUGGAGGUAUUCAUAUUUGCUCAGAUAUGCUCAAAAUCCCUUGCUUCUUAUUAAGUAUCCAUCGAAUUCCAACACCAUAUCCUCGAACUCGAUUGCGUUUCUUAAGACCAAAUCGUUCUACAUACAACUUAUUUCGAACAUGAGCAGUCACCUCACGCUCUGCAUCUCACUCCCUUUGUUCAAGUUUCUCCAACUCAUCCUAUGCCAAAAACCCUAGCAUCAAACAUAAAUCUUGCAUUGGAUGCUAAUGAGCAGUCACAAGAAUUAUUUGCGGAUGUCCAUUUACUUUUGCCUAAUUUUUAUAAUAAGCAUUUUUACUACAAUAGAGCUGGUAAGUCAAAGAAAACAGGUGGCAUAAUACACAAAGGGAGCAAAACAUAUGUACAAAGACAAAUCAGCUGGUCUUCAGCCAUGCAAACCAUUCCAAUACGCAAACAACAAACAAAUAAACCCAUUUUCCAUUUCAUUUAUUCAGGCUACUCAUCAGCAGCUUUGGUUUUCUGCAGCUUUUAUAUAUAUAUAUAUAUAUUAUAUGGUUAGUCCUCGAACAAAAUAAAGAGAAAUAAAAAUUCAACUAAGGCUCAAACUAUUAAACAAUUACUUUCCAAAUAUUAAGCUUGGAAGCUGAACUUACAAAUUCUUUUGCUGCUUCAUCAUUAAUUGGCUUUGGAAAUAGGAUUCUUCUUAGUGUAAAUAAGCCUAAAAAAUGUGCACCGGUCCAGUACUUCAGGAGGUGACUAAGUUGCUGCAUUACAUACAAUCCAUACAUUAUACACAACAUACAUAAGUUGAUAUAAUACUUUAUUGGGGUCCAUAUUUCAACUAAUGUUCUUGUAGUUUCUGUAGUAAUAUAUUUUUAACUUUACCAUAAAGGACAUGCUGCUUGUGUCCUAAAUCCUAAUGAUAUCCAUGAAAAAAAUUAAAUAUUGAUCACUGUAAAUUAUUGACCAACACUAUUUCAUAACAUCUGCAUCCCUAUAAAAUUUCAUGAUAAACAUAUAUUCAAAGUGCUAUAUUAGUUAGUUAGGCUAUAAAAUAUGAGCAUUGAGAAUAAUAGAAUCAAUAUGUUUUGCGACCUGAAAUUUUAAUUCAUCCUGUGCAAAUACAAAGCUAGGUGACAUUCAAUCAACUUGACUCAAUUAAAUUUUAAAUAAAACAAUUUGUAAUGUCAAGUUCCAGUAGAGAGAAAAUUGAGAUAUAAUAGAGACAGAACAUUUUAAUUAUAUUUGUGAAAAAUUCAGAGAGAGAAACACAAGUUAAAAGAACAAAAAAGGCAAAACUGAACAAGAAUUUGACAAACUUCUUAAAUUUGAGCUAUUAUUUUUUAAAUACAUGCAUUUCAGUAACAUGUACUGCACUGCACACUUCUCCACUUAUGUCAAUUCAAACCCUGGCAUAGCAGACAAGCUCUACUAGAAAACACUAAAUCUUUCUUUUAGUCAAUCACUGACUGUAUGCAUAAUGCAAAGACUUUUUAUCACAAGACGUCCCUGACGUUUGCGAAACUAUCAAAUUGCAUCCUUAAAGUUUUUUUGUAUCACUCAUGGUCCCUAACGUUAAUAUAUGUACUCUUAAAUAGUCUCUCUGUCAAAAAAACUGUUAAAUCUAUGAAUAUAAUCGUCAAAUCAAUCCAAAAUUAUAAAAUGUAUAUAUAUUUUAUUCCUUCCCUUCUCUCUUUCUUUUUAGUUCUUCUUUCUCUCCGCCAAAUUCCUUAUCUCUUCUUUCUCUGUUUCUCUUUUUUCCCCCUAUCCUCUGUCACUCUCUCCUUUUUCUUCUUUCCUAGCAGCGGUCAACUAAUACAAAAGAAGACAAAUACAAUAUUACAGUGGGGUUUUUUUGUUAUCUUUUUUCUUCGGGCCACGGGGGAGAAAUAAGGGGAUUUUGGGGAGCGAAUGGGUCUGUGUCUCUGGAUUUUUUUGUUCUCUUUUUCUACAGCUUUUUUCCAAAAUAAAAAUAAAAAUUGAACACAGGUAGAAGAAGAGGCCAAUAGAAGCCGACGUAGUGACUUUUUGCCCCAAACCAACCCCAGCACAUUGCAGCCAAAUCAUUCUCAGAGAACGAAGAUAAAAAAAUGAAAGAUAGAGGAAAGAGAGAGAGAGAAGAGAUACAAGAGCAAAGAAUUACAUCAAAUAGGGGAAAACUUUUUUAAAAACACUAAAUUGCAGACCUUGCAGCUUUUGGUGUUGUGGAACCAGAAAUGGAGAGGAUGGCCGUACUCUUUUCUUCACUGAAGAGUGAAGUUAGUAUCAAUCUAAGAUAUACAUAUGCAGAAAUCCACUAAGCAGUUAUUUCUACAUUGAAGACAUCCUUAAAAAUCAGAUCUAGUAAAUAAAAAUUCAUCUCAAAAGUUUUAUUAACAAUCUAGUUAUGCUCAAAUAGAUGAUCUCCAAAUUUAAUCAACAGUGUGAUGAUUUCUAAUCACUAAGUCGCCAACAAAGAAAAUUAUAGUUGGAAUAUAAUAUAGCCUGUGGUUGUCACUGCUGCGAAGCUCUGGACUGAGGACAUAGUGGAUUAUCAAGUCUGCAUGCAGGUUUAGCCUAGUUUUCCAGCUGAGAGAAGAAGAAAAAAAUCACCCAUGACAAGAGGAAGAAGAAAAAAGAGAGAGAGAGAGAGAGAGAGAGAGAGAGAGGAAAGAAGAAGAAUAGAUAUCUGGCGGAGAGAAAGAAGAAGAUGAAAGAAAGAGAGAAGGGAAUAAAAUAAAAUAAAUAUAUUUUAUAAUUUUUUAUUGAUUUGACUAUUAUAUUUCUGGAUUUAACAGUUUUUUUGACAGAUUGACUAUUUAAGAGCACCCAUAUUAACGUUAGGGACCACGAGUGAUACAAAAAAACUUUAAGAAUGCAAUCUGAUAGUUUCAUAAACGUCAGGGACGUUUUGUGAAAAAAAGCCUAAUGCAAAUGAUCACUACACAGAAGAACAUCAUAUAUAGGCCAUGUGAAUUAAGAUAGUUGAUUAGAGCAAUGCGUUCAUUCUCUUGUGACUAGAUUUGAAUCCCCUGUCCCUAAUUAAUUAGAGUAGUUUAGCUCAUGACAUUUUAAGACAGUAAAAACAAAACUAGAACAAAUGCAUUUAAUUCAUUCGAACAGUAUAAUUGGCAUAACAAUAGCAUUCGAUUACAUUUAACACAGAUUAAAGCACUCUGCUAGCGUCAUAUUGGAACCUAAAUUCUUUGUACAUAUACUACUCCUUUUCUUUUCUUUUUUCUUUUUUUGGUCAAGUACAUAUUCUACUCCCAUUAUAUCAUAUUUUGGGUUUUUUGACCCUGAAGGUAUAACUUUUAUCCAACCAAAUUGAAAUAGGAAAUUAUUCUCAGUUUAUACAUAAAAAUUAUUAGCUUUUCAUGGGUUUUAAACAUUUUUUUUUUCUUUAUAUGUUAUAUCUAACAUCCAUAGGACUCCAAGCUAACCUAAUAACACCCCUAAAUGCCCAUAUCUAUGUACUGAAUUCAUUCUAUACCACUUUCCUUUCCAAUCUUUAGGAUAAAUCUCUUCAAAGAUAAUAGAUUGUCUCACUCUUUCACUCAGUCUCCAAGAUAUAAAUUAAAAAAUUAAAAAAAACCUACUUUGGGUUGUUGAGAGAAGCUUCAAGAUGACCCACCCAGAACUACGGCUGCAUGUCAAGUCUUCCGAUGUUGAUGUGGGAGUCUGAUGCAGCAGUUCAAAGCACCAUUACAAUCAUCGGAAAAAUUGAUUUAUUACCAAGGAAUAUUAUAACUCAAAUAUGGAAACAAAAUUAAAAUUGUUUAAUAACCAUGUGUAGAAGAUCAACCGAGGGAUACUGUAACUCAAAUCUGGAAACAAAACAAUAAAUCAAUCAAUUUUCCUAAAUAAUUAUAAUGAUAUGAAAAAUAGAGGCCCCAAAAGCAAAACACAAAAACAAAAAACAGAAAACCUAAAAUCAAUCUCGUUUGAUUUACCAAAGUUAAUUGAACAAACCACACAUAUUCAAAACCCAAUAUCCCAAUGCUUGAAUUCAACUAUUAUUUUCAUCGACACUAAUAAAUCAAACCAUAAUAUGCCAUCAUACCUAUAAUUUCCACAAAUGCAAAAAUUAAAAAGAAGCCACACACACAAAUGAAAAGUAACGAUGAAAUUGAGCAUUGAAAUUACGUACUGAUUCUGUAUUCUACAGUGGUAUGUAUAACGUGAUUUCAAUCCUCUCUUCAAGCAGUGAGAAGUCGAUGGGUCUUCAAGCACGAACAAGUCGGUGGGUCUUCAAAGACUGAGAAGAGGAUGGGUUGGCGAAGAUGAGUGAGGAAGGUUGAGAAGAGAAGGACCGGGAAAUAAAAUGUUAUUGGGGGGUAAAUCUAAUGUUUUUGUGCACUAAAAGACGGUGACGAAUAGCACUAGCCACGGAAGAACAAUGACUAAUAUGAUUAAGGACUGGAGACAGUCUCUAAUACAUUGAGGGAUUUUGUCAUUGUUUUUUAUAUCCGUGCCUAAUGGAAAAUUAAGUACAUUCGUUUCCCAAUAUAGGGCGGUUUUAUGUCCAUUAAUUUAAAAUACGGAUACUAAUAACAAUAGGGACUGUUUUGUGUCUCUAUUAUUGCAAUAGGGACGGUUUUGUGUCCCUUGAUGUUUAUAGGGAUGAUUUAGUAUAAAUCUGUGCCAAAAAGCAGUUUUGACGGACUGUUUGUCUAUCAUUCUCUAAAAAAAGGGUCUUUAUUGCCCAAAUUUCUAGUAGUGAGAAAACACUAAAAUUACAACCAUUAAUAGAGUUGUCAGAUGAUUUCGAAUUCAAGUGAAUUUUUACAGGGAUGAUAUUUAAAAUAAUACUUUCAAAAAAUAGAAUGUUUGGAUUAUGAAAAUAUAGUGCAGAAUAAAUCCUAUAAGGGUGUCAUUUAAAUAAAUUUAUUUGAGGUAUUUGUUAACUGAAGCUUAUAUAUAUGUUUUAUUUAGACUUGUACAAUCAAUUAUUCAAACAUGCACUUCAACAACCACGAAUAUGUCGACCUUGCAUAGUACCAACAUGGGGAAAAUAGAACACAAAAGGUAAUCAUAAGAUAUGUAUUUAAUUACAAGUAGCAAUAGGAACUGCUCAAGGAUUCGUAGGAUGAGAUAAAGAUUUUUUCGGUAACAUCUCUAAAUUUUAGUUUAAUGAAACGCAGGUGGUGGAGAGUAUUGUACCUCCCAACGUUCUUGAACUUACCAAUUCUACCAAUGGUAUGACAGCACAAAAACUAUUUAGCAAGAACCACAAAGAUUUGGUGAAGGAGGGAGAAAGAUCAAUGAAAGACACAGCAACUUCGUGUACAGUUGCCGGUGCUCUCAUUGUUACAAUGAUGUUUGGUGCAGCAUUUACAGUUCCUGGAGGAAUCCGAGGAGAUACAAGUUUUCUAAUGUUCUUGAAAAAACCAUUGUUUACGGUUUUUAUAAUCUCAGAUUCCGUAUCACUCUUUUCUUCCACAACUUCAGUCAUGAUAUUUCUGGGAAUCCUAACCUCACGUUACGCAGGAGAAGAUUUCCUCAAAUCCUUGCCCACAAAAACGAUAUUAGGCCUUUCCACCCUUUUCUUCUCUAUCGCCAGUAUGAUGAUUGCCUUUUUCUUGUGCCCUGGUCAUUAUGCUUGAUAGAAAAUUAUGGAUUGUUAUUCCAAUUAUUUUACUGGCCAGUGUUCCAAUCACCUUAUUUGGAUUGAUGCAAUUUCCCCUCCUUGCUGAGAUUUCUAUUUCUACUUAUUUAAGAAAAAUGUUUGACACAAGAAAAUCAAACGCCGAUACUAAAUUCUUGAUGCUGUGUAAUUUAAUGGUUUUUUCCCUUUUUAUGACAUGUGAUGCUGGCAUCUAUAUGAGCAAAAGACAAUGUACGAAUUUCGUUUCUACAAGCAAAGUCCAACUGCUAUUUCUAUUUCGUUGAAUAUUUUUAGUUGAAUGUAAUGAUUCGUUAAUUGUUAAUCACAAAUUGAAUAAUUAAUAAUGAUUCCAACUCUUCCCUCGCAACUUCCUAAUUCAAUCAGGGAUAGAGAUUCAUUAGCCCAAAAUUUAGAAUUAGGGAACCUUGUGUGUAUGAAGAUGUCUUUAAAGACCCAAAAGUUUUUAAAAGGGUGUCUAAGUCGUGACCCAAUAUAGAGACCACCACUACUGCUCUUAAAAACUCUUAUUGAGGUCUUUUUGCGAGGCAACUGUUUUGAAGUGGGGUUGCUAAAAUGUACGGACCGAAGGAGGGCCGUGGAUGCUCGUGAUAUAAGUCGGUUCGUCAUGUUAACUUAAGUGAUCAAUCUUGGUCUUCCACGUCUUGUCAGUUAAGAGUCUAUAUUAAGAAAUAAAGAAAUAGUUUUUUAUGCUUCUGUUGGCUCUGUUUUGACUCUCAUUGUUAUGUCAUGUACAAAGAACUAUGCUAUGUAUGCAUACGAGGGUUUUUUUUUGACAGUUUUACAUUGUGGAGUUUACAUGCAGGUUUUGGGUUGAGUUGGGGUGCUUAUCUUUUAUUUUGCCAAUUUUAAGAAGCUUCUAUGAAUUAUGUAAGCAAAAUAUAUUGUUAAUUUUCUUGGAGAUGAUACUGUUAGCAUCUUUCUCUGUUUUUGGUGUAGUUGAAAUUCGGUUUUGUAACGACCACAAGCAACUAGUAGGGUGCCACAUUGUCAACAGAUUUUUCUUUUCCUCUUCUAUACUAGAAACUCUGAAAGAAAAGGAAAAAGCUUACUAAAAUAACAAUAAUGGGCUGUUCAUGGGCUGACAUGCCCAACAUAAUAAUGGCCCACUAAUGAUUUUGCCAACAGAGCGAAAUAGGAAAAAAAAAAAUGGUUUUGGAUAUUGGUCUAACAUUUUGUUGGUGUGAGAAUCAGGAUGUUCAUUUUUCUGUUUUUCUUUUUUUUGUGACGCUUUUCAUGGGAAACAUGUUUGGUGGUGACUUGGUCAACAUUACCAGAAGAGAGUUUUGAAAAAAUAGAAACUGGGACAUGGGUUUGCUCUUUAUGAUCACUAUCACUAUUUCAUGAUUUCAAUGAACCAAAGUUUAUUGCUCUUAUACUGCACCAUGAAUUAUAUAUAGCGAAUGGUUCUUUGGAUUUCUUGCUUUCUCUUGCAGCAAUGUUGAGAAUUAAAGAGAAUCUAUUGUUUUCUUUUCAAAAAGAAAAAAGAAAAAAGAAAACCUAUGUUGUAAUGAAAGUGGUGAAGCCCACACAAAAAAGAAGAAGGAAGUAAUAGUCAAAAGCUUAAUGAUGAUGUUGGGAGCUUAGUCAAAAGCUUAAUGAUGAUGUUGGGCAAUGAAGCCAUCCAAUUUUCCUAUAAAUAGGCUUGCUCAUUCAAUUGUAGAACACACCAAAGGAAAAGAGAGGAAAGAAAGGAAGAGAAGAAAGGAAGAGUGAGAGGAAACAAAAGAGAGUGAGUUUUAUCUGAGAGGAAAUUCUGUCAGUGUAAACAUCACAAGAGCAAAUACAAUUCUAUUCCCAAUAUUCAGUGGUACUUUUCAUACUCUAUUAUUUUAUUUUUAUAACAAGUUAUCAGCACGAUAGUCUUUCUCAUUUACUUCUAAAUUUUCCCAGCUCAAGACUAUGUGGUUAUUUCUCUGUCUCCUCUCUGUCAUAUGUCUCUUCUCACUUUACUACUACAAUGACAUGCAAACUUUCUUUUUUCGUAUUCUCACAAUUUUUAUGUUACUUCAUCCAUGUUUAUUUAAUUUAUUUUUUCAUAUUCUCACAAUUUUUAUGUUACUUCAUCCAUGUUUAUUAAUUUAUUUUUUCGUACUGUAAUUUGGAAUGGUGUUGUUUUAUACUCCAUCCUGUUAUUUUAUGGUGGUGUAAUUUCAUUACCCAUCACGUUGUAACACAUAUUAUCGCAAUAAAAAUGAUGGUGUGAUCUUAAAACUCAUCUUAUUAUAUCUUGAAUAGUGGCGCAAUUAUAUUGUCCACAAUAUAUAAUAUGUUAUAUACUUCAUAUAUAUUAGGUGGUGGUUUUAUCCCCGCAUUUACUUUAUUUACUGUAUAGUGUAGAUUUAUUAUCCAUACAGCAGUAUUUAUUUAAAAGUGUGGCGCGGGUUUAUCGUCCACACAACUGCCUUUAACAUUUACUUUAUUUACUGUAUGGUGUAGGUUUGUUACCCACACAGUAGUAUUUAUUUAAAAGUGUGGCGCGGGUUUAUCGUCCACACAAUUGUCUUUACUUUUUAUUUAAAAGUAUGGAGUAGAAUUAGUGCCCAUACAGCAAAUUUACUUUAUCGUACAUUUACUUUAUUACUUAAAGUAUGGUGCGGGAUUAACGUCCAUACAUGAAGCAAUUUAAUUUAUGAAUUUAUUUUACCACACAUUUACAUUUAUUUAAAGUAUGUGGUCGAAUUAUCGUCCAUACUAGCAAGUAAUUUACCUUAUGAAUUUACUUUAUCGCAUAUUUAUUUUUAUUUAAAGUAUGGUGCGGAAUUAACGUCCAUACAGCAAACAAUUUAUUUUAUGAAUUAAUUAUGAAGUAUGAUGAGUUUUAUAGUAUACAGAGAUUAGGACCAGAAAUUCCUUGAUCCUCAUCAUACAACUACAUCAGGACCUGAAGAUCCUUGAUGAUGAUAAUGAUAUGAGAGCUAGCAGUCUCUUCGGUACUAUAUUUGUAAACAAGUAAACAAGUGAUCGGACCUGAAGAUCCUUGAUCAUUGACAUGUAAAUAAAGACCUGGAGUUCCUUGAUAAUGUAACAAUACCGUAUUGGUUAAUAGUACCGUACACACGAAUAAUAGUUGUACUGGCAAAUAUACUGUACACAUGAAUAGACACAUAUUCAUGACUUGAUGAAUGGUACCGUAUACAUGAAUAGUGACGUACAUAAAUAUUAACCACUUUUGGGUAAACCGUCACUAUAUACAAAAGGGAACAUGCAGUUCCUUAAACUCGUGGAUGAUCAAUUAAAUGAGAAGCCAUAAGCUCCUCAAAACAUGGACAAUUACGUAAGGGCUUGAAGUCCCGAAAUAUGUACAAGAAAUUAUGAAAAUGUCCAUAUCAUGAGAAUAUGUGAUUUUGGACUGAAGUUCAAAAUCUAAGAGUAUUGAAUGUCCAUACCAUGAAAAUAUGUGAUUUUGGCAUGAAGUUCAAAAUCUAACAAUAUUGAAAACCUAAAGUUCCAACAGUUAAAUGGACAACCCUUGAGUUAUUAUUAAUAAAGUUCGAUUUUGUUAUAAUUGACACCUCAAGGAAGCAAUAUAUUUUCUGAAUUCCGAUUGUUAAGAAUGCACCGUGAAAUCUAUAAUAUCAGGAUAAACCUCAAAAGGAUGAAUUGCGGUACCCCACAUAUUUUGUUAUAUUAUGUGAUAUGAGCCGGAAGCUCAUGGAUCCAAAUAUAUGAGAGAUCCGAACCUGAAGUUUUAGGUACCCGGGCAAGAAGUUCCGGACUCACAUGCAUUGAAAUAUGUAAUUUGAGAGAUUUGAUGUGGUUAUUUGAACCUAUAAGGCACAAGGUUCCAAACCGUCAUUUUGAAAAACGUGAAAACCACUUGCGCCAAUUUAAGAAUUUACCCAAUUAUUAUAACAGGAAAGGAGCAUACAAUAGAUAGAUUCUUUUCACUUGCAAGGAAGGAGCAGGCUCUGUAAAAUCUAUAAAAUUCCAUUAUGUUCUGGAAGCCUCUGAAGGAAGAGGACGGCGCCUCUUAAGCUUAGCCAUGAGCCUCUCGUGGUCUCCCAGAAUCUUUUCAUUGGAAAUUUGCAGCAUGUCAAGCCUUGUCUGCGUAUCAAUGGAGUAUGAACUCACUAGUUUCAACAAGGCCUUAUUUUCCUCUUUAAGUUUUUCAACCUCUUGCUGAGACUCAUGAAGCAUUCUCUGAAGAGACGAAUUUUUAGUGUUCAGCUCCUGAAUCUCAUUUGCUCUGACAUGCAAACCGUCAUUUGCAUAAGGUUCCAAACUGUCAUUUUGAAAAGACGUAAAAAGCACAGGUGCAAAUUAUUAUAAUAGGAAAGGAGCAUACAACAGACAGAUUCUUUUCACCUGCAACGAAGGAGCAGGCUCUGUAAAAUUUAUAAAAUUCCAUUAUGUUAUGGAAGCCUCUGAAGGAAGAGGACGACGCCUCUUAAACUUAGCCAUGAGCCUCUUGUGUCUCCCAAAAUCUUUUCAUUGGAAAUCUGCAGCAUGUCAAGCCUUGUUUGCGUAUCAAUGGAGUAUGAACUCACCAGUUUCAACAAGGCCUUAUUUUCCUCUUUAAGUUUUUCAACCUCUUGCUAAGACUUAUGAAGCAUUUUCCGAAGAGACAAAUUUUUAGUGUUCAGCUCCUGAAUCUCGUUUUUUUUGACAUGCAAACAAUGAGCCAUGUUCGAAACAGAAGCAGCACUCUGAAUUCUAAAAGCCAUUGAGUCAUCAAUAGCCUCUUUGUCAGACCUUCCUGUUAACAGUAUUUCAUCCAUACAAGUAAGGAAAUUCCUAGCUACUAUGACAGUAAUUGUAUCAUUCAUCAUCACAUAAUCAUUAACCGUGAGAUGACGAUUUUAGGAUACAAAGGAUGGACGCCAGACUUUGGUGUCACUGGUUGUUUUGGGAGCAACAUUUAAAUCGAGAUGCUUUAGGGGAGAAGAAGAGGAAGACAUUAUAUUCAAGGAAAGUCUUAGAAAAGCUAAAUUUUCAGAAAAUGAAAGGGAGUUAAGUUGAAACGCAGUUACUCCAAUCCGGCCUUGUAUAGGUAAUAUCUAUAUACAUAAAUGUGGCAUCGUUUUCAGGAUCCCAAUAUUUUCUCGGAUCCCCAUAUUCUUUUUCUUUUUCAAAUUCCAAAACUUCACGCGGCCUCCAUUAAUGUCUAUUGGCACUUUAGGGGUUUCAAAGAUUAUUUUCGUCAAAGCCGAUCUUGCUUUGCGGAUUUCACGGAGUAACUUUUUCAAAAGCAUCUCGAGAACCUCACAAAUUUCAGUGGUUAAUUUGAAAUUCACCAGUUCUACCUAUUCCUCUAAUUUGUGUAUAAAUAUGUUACUAACAAAAUCUUCUUUGCAAAAUACAUCAAUUUUUCUCCAGUUUUCUCCAUAUUUAGUGAUGCAAUAUUCACUUGUUUUUCCUAUCAGUGAGCACUUGAUGUGCUUGAGAAGCGAGACUAUCCCUGAUCAUCCAUUCAAGAAGUGGGACUAUCCUUGAUCAUGUUUCAGCGAUUUGGGGAGCUAUAGGGACGGCCAUAUGCUUUAAUCUCCUGAAGUUCUUCUAUGCUAGGAGAAAUGAGAGUUUGUGGUCUGUUAUCUCACUAGUUUCCUUCCCUGAUUGCUUACCUACUCUGCAAUCAAUAUCACAAUUCUUUGUAUCUUUUCUUUAUUUUAUAACUCUUUUUUCAGAAGGGAUUUUAUUUUUUUUAGAACGAACAUUUGAAUAAAGAAUCCAUGUAGUGAUCCUAACACUGAGGGUUAUUUUUUUAUAGAGACAGAAGAAUUGUGAUUUUUGAUCUUGCAGGAUAUAACUAGAACAUUAAGCAUUACAUUGUAUUUGCUGAGCCAUAUGAGCUUGAAUGAUAUUUGAGCAAAGUUUCUCCCACCUAAGGAUGUAAGCAAUACUUGUGUUAUUUCAUGCUUGUACUCUUAUUUUGAUAUUUGUACGACAUCCUUAAAGGUAACCAAAUGGGGAGAUAAGGCCGUUCCAGAAGAACGCCAUGCAAAGGAUCAUUCCAGAAGAAUGACUUGCAUUACAGAUAGUUCCAGAAGAAUGACUUGUAUUAUGACCAUUCCAGAAGAAUGGCUUGUAUCAUUCUGAUAUGUAUUCAUGAAUUAUUAAUGCAAAUUUCACAGAUUGCAAGUUGAAUACAUUGAUAAUUCACCACAUUGAUUAAAGUCCCAUAAGAACAGAACAUGGGUAUACCAGUGAUUAAUAUGAUGCACGCAUGUUGAGUAGCAAAUGAUAUGUAUUGAAGUCCCGGAAAGACAAUCCAUUAUCAUGUCAAUUCUAAUACGGUGCACGCCUAAUGGGUAGCAAAUUAUAUGGUUUAAAGUCCCAGAAGGACAAUUAAUUGACAUGUAUGUAUUAAUCUGUGGCAUGCCUGCAACAUGACAGAUAUAUGGGUUCUAAAUGUUUCAACUCCCUGAAUGGAGAUUAUCUACCCCCUACUGUAAAAUAAUGCUCCAUUGGAGGUUAAGAUCCACAUUCUCAGAUAAUUCAUCCUAUAAGAGAUGUCUGUCUGGAAAGAGACAAUAAAAUCCCCUUGAAUGGCUUGGGUAUCCAAAAGCAAAGAAAUGCUUAUAAUUAAUGCAUGUGUAUGCACAUGAGAAUGGUGGGAUCAUAAAUUGAUGAAUGACAAUUUUUAAUUUUGGAGUAGCUAUUCAAAUCACCAAUGGGUUGUGUUGAUUGGAACCACGUUCUAUUAUUAAAUGUCAACAACAUCAUUGGCCAAAAAUGGAAAGAGGCAAUUCCAUUACAUAUGAGAACGAAAGUGAAAGAAUAAACCCAUAGUACGAACCCCAAAAGAUGUUAACCCUGAAAGUUAUACUUGGAUGUUCGGAAUAAAAGAGGAAUAUACUCAAUUUAUAUGACACAAUGUUUCUGGUAGAAUGUUGAGGUUCUCCAUAUUUACAGAUGCAAUCGUGCAUUCUUAUUGCACAUUUACAGAGACCAACGUGUUAUCUUUAGGGGUUAUUAAAUGCACGGAGCAUAUCGCCAGAAGCGAUUCCCUAAGAGAUGUUCAAGCAGAACAAAUAGCUGGAUAUAAAGCUAUAUAAUGUGUCAUGAAGUGUAAUCUCUUAAAUAAAAUCCUUGAAGGAUUGUAAUUGCAUGAAGCAAGUCUCUGAAGGGCAUGUGCCUGGAGCACAAAUUUUGUACUUAAUAUUAAUAUGUAUAAAUUGCCUCAGUGAGUACAUUAAUUAUAAUAUGGUUACAAUACAUUACAACUCCUGAAGAGUUAAUUGAUUAAAACUCCUGAAGAGUUCAAGAAAUAUUUGUCUUGGCCUGAAGAUCGAGACAUUUUUAUGUGGAUUAUCCGUUGGGCACUUAAAUGAUUUUUUUUGAAAAUAUACUGGACUGGACAUUGCUUUUUCCAAAUAGAGCUCAACUCCAUCACCACCACUUUGGGAUGAUGUGAGACAUAUUUGAUACUAUCUCCGCAUAAAACCAUAUACAGACAUAUUCUUUUCAAGUGAACUUACAAAUAGCCCAGGUUUUGUUUGAUUCGCGGACUCUGGAAAUUUCUAUGGUUUACAUAGAAAUAGCUCACUGGAAAUAUAUUUGCUUACUCAAUUACAUGAAUUGUUGAUGGCUACAUCAUUCCCUCAGUACGAAAGAUCUUGCCUCUAGAAAGACAGUCAUGAAGAUAUCAGAGGGAGAUAUUGUUCAAGGACAGCAUCCAAUAGUGUUACAAGAUUGACUCAUAGUAGUAGUAUCAGCUACUACAUUCAGAAAGAUGAUCAACAGUAUGGCUUAAAAGAUAUUUUGCCAAGCAAUCAAAUUAGAGCAUGCAAAAUCAAGGGGAGCAUUCAUAAGUCCUCUAACACAGGACAUAUGCACGUUGUACUAUUUUUCCUUCUACUAAGAUUUUUCCCACUGGGUUUUUCCUAGCAAGGUUUUAACGAGGCAACAUGAGCCCAUUUACAUUACCCUUAUGUCCCAAAUAAAGUUGUACUUUUUUUCAUUCGCUUAGGUUUUUUCCCACUAGGUUUUUCCAAGCAAGGUUUUAAUGGGGCAACCAAUCUAGGGACAUGUGGUCUCUAAGGGGGAGUGUUGUAAUGAAAGUGGUGAAGCCCACAUAAAGGAAAAGAAGGAAAUAAUAGUCAAAAGCUUAAUGAUGAUGUUGGAAGAUUAGUCAAGAGCUUAAUGAUGAUGUUGGGUAAAGAAGCCAUCCAAUUUGCCUAUAAAUAUGCUUUCUCAUUCAAUUGUAGAACACACCAAAGGAGAAGAGAGGAAAGAAAGGAAGAGUGAGAGGAACAAAAGAGAGUGAGUCCUAUCUGAGAGGAAAUUCUGUCAGUGUAAACAUCACAAGAGCAAAUACAAUUCUACUCCCAAUAUUCAGUGGUACUUUUUAUACUCUAUUAUUUUAUUUUUAUAACAACCUAUUAUUUUCAUGAAACACAUGAAGACACCCAAACAAAGAAAAAGUAAAAGAAAGUAGGAAUAAAGUAGGGGUUCGAAAUGGGGCAAGCUUGAAGCAAUCCCAAAAAAAGAUGAAGAUUCUUCAAAGCAAAUUAGGCAUUUCAAUCUAAGUGAUAACACACACAAAAUUAAACGUUGUUAUUUGUCUUCUUAUGGUAUCCCAAACCUUUUUUGGCUCUCAAUAACUUACGCAGCUUCAUCUAUAUUCAAUUUCGAAUCCAUCUUUAGUCUAUUGUUCCUUGUGAACGACUAAAAGGAUUGACUCACAAGUAGAAUCCAUCUUCAAUCACCUACAGCCCUUUCCUUUAUUUUUUGAUUUAAAAUACCCAAUUUUUUCAAAUAAAAACUUAUGACUAGGAUCUAAGUAAGCAAGUUACCUAAUUCGGAUUCUAAAACUACCCCUAUUUACAAGUUUAUGUGUUAUGUGGGUUGGGGGGGGUGGGGGGUGAUGGUGUGGGAGAGGAGGGUGUGGGGGUUGGGUUGUAACUAAUGACACAAGUUGAAUUUGGAAAGAUCUCCAAAUGGUUGUAAUGGAUGUAGGAAUUAAUUUAGAAACUUAUUUGAAAUUAAAUAUUAAAUUCAACAUUAGCGUAUUAGUAAUCUAUAGGUGAUUAACGUUUUGGUUUAUUUAAAAAAAAAUUAUGUUGUUUUCUUUUGAUGAAUUAUACAACUAGUAAUCUAUUUUAUUAUAGUUUUAUGAAUUAGGGAUUUGAUUCUUAUUGAAAUUUCUAAUUGACUCAAUCUCUCCAUUUAAGGGAAAGAAUAGUUUCCUUAUAGGGAUUGUUCUUUGAAAAACCCUAGAUGGACAAGAAAACUAUAAAUACAUGCCUACAUCACACUUACAAGAUUCUUCUCACACCCAAAAAACCCUACACAAACACCUCUCUCUCUCUCUCUCUCUCUCUCUCUCUCUCUCUCUCUCUCUCUCUCAUACUCAAGCCACCACCCACGGCUCCGGCCACCCGGCUCUCCCCGUGAGAGAAAACUCUGUCUACUUAGCUAUUGUCGUAUAUUUUUCAAGAUCCAAUUGAAUUAACUUAGGCAUUGGAGGGCUUUGGCCAACAUCCCUUGGGUGUGAUCCGUGACCUAAAUUUAUUUUACAGGAACCAAGGGAGAAUAAAGAGAAGGAAGUUCGAGAGUGGAAGAAUCUACACACGAAUAUUCUCCCGUGAGAAAUUUGCACAAACACAAAUCAUGAAGACAUUGAGAUAGGACGAAAGUGAUUCAGAAGAUGAUGAAGGAGGUCCCAUAUUUGCUGUUUUUGGAGAGUUGACUAACAAGAGAAUGGAGGCUGAAAAAGAUGAGGGCGGAGAUGGUGCUGCUGCGACCAAGGACGGUGACAGCCAACUUGGCACCCUUGAGAGAAUAAAAACGCUAAAACGAGGCGGUUGAUUUAAGAACAUUUUGAUGCAAAUGUCGACUAAGUACUAACUGUUGAGCCUCCUGUAUACAAGACGAAGAUACAUACAACAAAAAACUUACAUAGAUUAAAGUUUCUUCCUUUACAACCAAUAAGAGAGUGAGAGAGAAGAAAAAAGCUUUCUUCCUUUAAAGACUGACAUAUAUAUUUCCUUCCUUUUCUAGAUGGCUAUAACUUUGUUACAUGAAAGCUUUCUUCCUUUAAAGACUGACAUAUAUAUUUCCUUCCUUUUCUAGAUGGCUAUAACUUUGUUACAUGAAUAGAAUGGAACUUUGAAAAACAGAAACAAUCUGAAAAACAAUAAUUGUAAAUAAAAUGAAUUACUUCUUGUAAUACGAGGGGUCGUUUGGUACGGAGGACUAUUAUGGAUUGGACUAAAUUCUGGGACUGUUUUGAAUGGAUUGGCCUAAGCUGGAUUAAAUACAAACCUACAUUUGGUGGUAUGUCGAACUAAGAAGCUGGAUUGUAAAAAUAGUGAAGACCUAUAUUUGGUGUUGAGUCGGACUAAAAAAUAAUUAUUUUAAUAUUUAAAUUUAAUAAUUUUUAGAUAAUUAAAUGUAAUUUAAUAAGAUCUUAAAACUAUGAACAUACUUUCUAGAUACCAAAUUUACAUGUAGAUGUCAAAGUCAGAAUUUCUCCAAAAAGUCAUAACAAAUCAACAAAGAUAGCAUUCCAAAAAUGCCAUGAAGCCCAUUCAUAGCGAUUUACGAAUGCCACUAUAUAUGUAAAUUUCAACACCCAUUCAAGAAUAAAUAAUAAAAAUCAAUACUCAUGUAGGAAAAUUUCAUUUCACAAUAUAAGUGUGUUAGUAUGAAAAUUGUCUUGGUAUUUCUAAGACUCUAGCAUAGGUCGGGAAUUAGUGUGUGAAUAUCUAUUACUGGAAGUUUUGGAGCAACACAUUCAAUCUCGGAUUUUCAAAGUGUGACUUGACUGAUAUCAGAAAACUGAUUUCAGGUAAAUCAUGAUAUAAUCACGCAUUCAUUAUAGGAUUCCUAGUUAGAGUUAUUUUAACUCAAGUACUUUUUUGUUAGUCCUAUUUUUAAUAGGAUUAGAUUUUAUCUCUUGAGAUUACUUUCCUAGUUGGACCUUAUUUUGGUUUAUGUUAAAAUAUCCUUUUUCAUCUUUGACUUGGAGAGCACGUUCUAUUUGGUUUAAUUAUUUCAUUAUGUCUGCUCAGUUGGGAGGAUGAAUAGUCUCAAGUCAUUCAUGUAGAGACACUGAGACAGAUGUGUAGGUGCUCUAUAGAAGAUGAAGUCCAUUGAAUGUGAUCAACUCUAGAAUUCUUGUAUGGAAGUCUUACUCACAAGUGUCAAACAAAGAAUUAUAAGUUGUGAUAAUGCAAAUUAAUCCUUAGACCUGAGACAUCACAGUUGUCUUGUGUACAUGUUGUUUUUCUUUGAGAGUACUAUACGGUCGUAUCAAAAUGAUGUGACACAAAGGUGUUCUUCAGGAUUCUCAGCGUGUACGCAGAGACAAGUGAAUGUACAACAAUGAAUCUCUGCUCAUAGUAAGAAGAGAUAAUACUCUAAAGAUAUGAUUCGUGAAUCUUUGGCUAAAGUAUUGGAUGGAAAUUGAAACAAGAAUGUUUGCAAUUUCAUCAAAUUGAAUCAUAUAAUCAAGAGAUGUCAUUUUAGGGAUUUUGACACAAGUUUACCAUAUCUCGAGAAUAUAACAUAGAGUAUUGAAUUAGAGAAGGAUCGAAUUGCAUUGUAAUCACAAACUGACUAAGUUCUCUAAAUGAAUUCUUUUUAGCUUGGGUUGCCAUGACAUACUGCUAGGUGUCACUCAUGGCUUGUGGAAGCCCUGUAAGAACUAAUUAUAAUAGCCUUCGCCAAUAGGGAGAAUUGUAUGGAGGGAUACAAUUCACACUUGAUUCAGAGUGAAUCAUUCAUACCUACUGCCUCGCUAAUUAGAACCUAUAAGAUCGCACGCCGAAAAGGAAUCGAUUGGGAAAUUAUGAAGAGAAUGAAUGAUUUUGUGACUUGGUCAAAGUCAAUGUGAAAGUCAAAGGUCAAAGUCAAAAGUCAAUGGUCAAAGGUCAAACGAUUGACCCGACACUUGACAUGGUCAACUAAGAAUGACCAGGACCAACACACUCGUUAGACAAGUGAGUGAUUGAAUUAGUCAAGUCACUAGAGUAAUUAAAUUGAUUAGAUUAAUUUAAUUAUUCAAUUAAAGUUAUGAAACUUUAAUUAAAGGUCCCAUAUGACUUGAAAUUCAAAAGGGAUUUGACCAUAUGGACUUAGGCAUAUAUGUGACACAUUAUAGGAUUUGGACCAAGAUAGCAAAAGAUGACACACAAAAGGGGGGGUGUGGCUACACUAGGGCUUGGGGGCAUUUUUGUCACUCUUGUGACAUUUUUGAUCCUAAGUGUGUAGCUAUGGAAUCCUAUCAUUCUAGGGUUUUUCAAGUUGGUGAAAUUGGAAGAGAGAAAACAUCAAGUUCUCUCUCCCUAACCCCUUGAAUCUAUCACAUCAAGUGAAGGUGCUAGCACCACUCUUCACUUGUUGUAUACUCAUUCUCUCAUCCCAUUCAAUUCUUGGUGAAGAGCUUUGGGGAGGUGCAUAUCUUUGUACCUAUUUGGAGAGCUACAAGGCGGAGAAUCAACAUCAAAGGGACCACUCCCUCUACUUGAACACCAUUCUUGGUUUUAAGAUUCGCUCCAAGGGUAUGAACAUCUUAUCCUUCUCUCAUAUAGGAUUUAGAGAGUCUUUGGUGCACACUUUCAUAGACUUAUAAAGAUUGGGACCAAAUGAGACUUGCACGAAUCCCUAAUUUAUUUAAUGCUUCCGCUGUUACUUUGAUUUCAUAUUAGAUAUGGCAUGCUAGGUGAUUUCUACUCUCAAAGUUUGGUUGUAGAGUUUUUACAAAUCUCUACACAACACCAUUCCUAGAAUAUUCCUUUCGCCAAGACCAUGGUAGCGGUUUUCCUCCGGCGAGCUUGAAGCAAUUGUGACCAGUAUUGCAUUCAAUAUAAAGAGUGUCGAAAGAUCAUCCCGUGACAAAAGUUAAGUUACGAAGAAGUCGGUAAACAUUAUCUAGAAUGUGUCUAGAAUAAGUGUGUGAGUACUUCUUGUAAUCAUCGUUCUAUAGUAGAUUUGUGUUGAACUGAGGAGUCCUGUGGAUUUUCUCCAGAUGUGGGGUUUUCCCACGUAAAAUAAUUCUUUGCGUGUUCUUUUAUUUUAUGCUCAUUGCAUUUUAGUAUUGAUAAGCCAUAUCAAUCCUGCUACCCAAGUUUAUUUUUUGUUUAUUGAUUAUAAUUAUGCACCCCCUCUAGGCAUUCUUAAUCAUCCUACAGUUAAUUUCAAAGUGAAAUACAUAUUUACUCAUUUGCCCUUACAAACUACUAAUGCUUGGGCGUAAUUGUAACUAGCAUAAGUCUAGUAUUUUGCUAGUUCUCUUCAGAAGUCGUGAUCCAAAAGUUCCAUUCAUUGUCAAAAUAUAAGUGCAAGCAAUGUAAGCCCUUGAUGUCUUCUUCAGUCACCAAAAGCCAACUACCAAUGUGAAAGAAAAAAAAAUCUAUCUUAAGUAUGUGAUUACAUUUCAUCAGGAAAGCUCACAAUAUAAGUUAGAAACCUAGUCAAUUAUGAUCGUCCAUGGAAAGUAAUUGAAUACUGAACAUAACAAGAUAAAACUUUACUUCUUAUUGCUUUGAUUUUCAGUGAGGUCUGCAUUUCUUUGGAUUUUCACUCCAUCUAAAAGUACCUGAAUCCGGAUUGUAAGAGACCAAACAAUCAAAAUCAACAAACUCAUGUAAGGCUUAAAAGUCAAUGUCAAUUGCAGACAUACAAAAAAAUCUAUCUCAAUUUGAAUGUUAAGCACAAAGUGUAUGAUUCAUAUCACAUAUAUGACUAAUGUAAUGUGACGAACCUCUUUGCAGAGCAUUUGAUGACACCACAUCUUGCAACUGAGCCAAUUAUAAGAGGCACUUCCAGCAUCCAACAGAAAAGGGAUUUACACUGAAGCAAGCACUAAGCUAACCAACUAUGAUUACACCAUCAGCUUAAACUGUGAAAUUAUGCAUGGUUGCCUACACAAAUUGUUUUGACCUCCAAACAUGGGAAAAUCUCUCAAGCAUGCAAGUACACAUAUAACAUCUCAAGUCUCGUAAAAUAGAACUUUGCAGCUAAACGAAUAAUGUAAUAUGUUUUUCUUUGCAUUAGAGAUGACAAAAAUAAAUUAAAUUGUUGGAUGUUUUUCUUUGCAUUAGAGAUGACAAAAAUAAAUUAAAUUGUUGGAUGUUUUUCUUCAAACAUCCAAUUGUUGGAUAAAUUAAAUUAAAUUAAAUUUGGACCAUGAAAUAAAAUUUGGCACCAUAUGAGAUACAUGAAAAAUUCAAAAAUUUGGUCUUGCAUCUAUUUAUUACAAAACAGGGGACAAGUUAUUUAAAAGAUAAGCUAGACUACUCAACACAACCACAAAAAAGACUAAAAUUUGGCAUGUUUUGGUGCCAAACCCAUGACUAAGCAUGUCAUUAGACCUCCAAUGAAGCAACUCUUGAGAAACUCACCACUACCUUUGUCUCGAAUGCCCAUGUGGUAGCCAAGAUCAAAAUCAAGAAUUGCAUUACCACCCCAUUGCAUAACCCAACUGAGUGCCACAUUUUAGCAAACAGUUGGAGUGCAUGUUGUGCUCUGGACUCUUCAAAGAUUGAAACCUAUUAAUCUUAUGAACAAAACCAAUGGACUCUGACCCAGCAAUAAUGACAACAAAUUAAGACAAAGAAACAAGCAAAUCUUAUGUGCAUUUGGGUUCAGGAAUAUGCGAUGUCGCUGAUAUCCACAAUUGAAAACCCACAAAGCCCACUUCAUGUACAAACAGAGUCGUUCAAUUGGUUGACGACCAUGUUGUUCACAUCAUUCAUAGACUCUGUAAUUUCAGGUGGUCUGAAAACAUCAUUAGAAACAAGAAAUUCACUCUUGCAAUCAAUUGUCGAUAUCUAGAUUUGAAUUGAGAGAAUGCGAUAAUUUAUUGAAUGGAAAGUGGCUUUUAAAUAGCCUUACAGAACAGAAAGCAGAAAAACACGAUCCCAUGACUAACAGUCCCUGAAGUCAAGGGAUCCUCCUAAAGAAAAACUCAAACAUUAUCUACUUCCUUAAAACAAGGUUUAUUGCAACUAAAACUAAACAACUUUAACAAAUAGUAAAUAACAACUUUUUGUUAAAAUAUGAAUAUGGUUUGAAUGCAUUAGGUUUAAAUUAUAUUCUUCUCCAUAAGGAGGUAUAUAUAAAAGUUUACAUGAGUGCUGUACAAGGAAAUAGAUACAGUAAUCAAUUGGGAUAGUACCUCAUAAUUAUACAAAGAUUUGUCAACUAAAUAAAAUGGGAAAAUAAAUCCCUUAAUUAAUCAAGGAAAUAAAUCUCCUUGAUUAAUUAGGAGACUCACGUCAACACCCCUCCUCAAGUUAGUGCAUAUAUGUCACCAAUGCCCAAUUUGGUAAGUGAGUCAUGAAAUAUUCUGCCAGUUGAUCUUCUGAUUUUACGAAUGGUAGGUGGAUGAUCUUCUUCUCAAUCUUCUCUUUGAUAAAAUGUGUAUUCACUUCAACAUGUUUGGUUCGAUCAUAUUGAACUGGAUUAUAGGUAAUGUCAAUGGCUGACUUGUUAUCACAAUGUAACUCAAUUGGCUUUCCUGGCUUGAAACCCAAUUUUGUCAACAGUCUUCUGUUCUAUAGUAGUUCACAAACUCCGUGAGCCAUUCCUCGAUACUCUGCUUCUGCACUAGACCGAGAAAUCACAUUUUAUUUUUUCACUUCGCUAAGUGACUAGAUUACCUCCUAUGAAGGUAAAGUAACCUGAAGUAAAGCAUCUAUCAGUAAUGGAGCCAGCCCAAUCAGCAUCUGUACAUCCAACAACUUCGAGAUCUCUAUUUUUUGAGAACAUUAAUCCUUUCCUAGGUGCUGACUUUAAGUAUCUUAAGAUCCGAUCAAUUGCUUUCCUAUGGGACACACUGGGUGAUUCAUCUCGAUGGGUGUAUCAGCGGGUUUGCAUCCAAACAUUUCUGUUUCAGUAAGCAGAUCUAAUACAUACUUCAUUUGAGAUAGAAAUAUACUAGUUGUGGACCUGGCUACUUUAAUUCCUAUAAAGUACUUCAGAUCACCUAAAUCCUUCAUCUCAAAUUCUUGAGACAAAUACUUCUGCAGUUUCAGUGACUCUUAUGUGUCGUUUUCAGUUACGACUAUGUCAUCCACAUAAACAAUCAAUGCAGUAAGUCUUAUUCCAUCACGCUUCAAGAACAAAGUGUGAUCUGCAUUACUCUAUAUAUAUCCAAAAUUCUUCAUGGAUUUAGUGAAUCUGCCAAAUCAUGCCCUGGGGGAUUGCUUUAACCCAUAUAAUGAUUUUCUGAGUUUGCAAACUUGACUCUCCUUGUCACGAGCUAAUUUACAUCCUGGUGGUAAGUCCAUAUAUACUUCUUCUUCUAAGUCUCCAGGACUCUGAUAGUUGUAAUCUUGGCUACUGGGGCAAAGGUCUCUUGGUAGUCUAUCCCAUAUCUUUGUGUGUACUCAUUUGCCACCAAUCUAGCUUUAUAUCUUUCAAUGGAUCCAUCUACUUUGAGUUUCAUAGUAUAAAUCCACCUGCAUCCCAUUGUUUUCUUUCCAUGAGGUAAUUGCAUGAGUUUCCAUGUACCAUUCUUUUGGAGAGCUCGCAUUUCUUCAUUUAUGGCUUCUUUCCAUUUUGGGUCUUCCAGUGCUUCAGUUACACUGUUGGGAACAUGUAUGUCGACCAACUGUUUCACAAAGUGUACCUGUGACUCUGAUAAUCUGCUGAUGGAUAUAUAAUUGUUGAUGAGAUAUUUUCCUUUGGCAUUAAGAUCUGCUUCGUAGUGUACUGGAGGUUUGCCACGGUUCUUCCGUUUUGGAAUCUGAUAUGCAGGCUUUGUGCCUUAUGAAAUCAAAUUAUCAUGGGAUAUUUCAUUAAUGUUAUCAGUUUCAGGACAAGAUGUUACAUGAAUGACAUUCUCAGCAGGUGAAUGGUGUGGUACCGGAGCUAAAGAAGUCUCUGGAGUGGGCAAAAUCUCAUCAGUUUCCUCCUCCUGAGUUGGACAACAAGGAGACAACAGAUUAGGUUGAGGCUGGUUUUCGGGGAGCGAUCGGUCGCUUCCAAGCUGCGACUAGUCAUUUUCUGGUACAGUUAGAAACGACCAGUCCUUAUCAGGCUACGACUGGUUGCUUUCAACAUGUGAUCGGUUCUUUCAGGUUGGGACGAUUCUGGAGAAAAAACAUCGAAAAUUUGAGAAGUGUUGGUGUCGCAAUUUUCCUCAUAUUCAGCUGAAAAAUAUAUGUUGUUUUCUCGAAACACAACAUCCAUAGAAGUAUAGAUUUUCUAAGUAGGAGGAUGAUAACACCGGUAUCCUUUUUGAUGAGGUGCAUAGCCAAUGAAAACAUACUUUUCGGCUCGAGGAUCCAAUUUGCUUCAUUGGUGAUCAUGUAAGUGGACAAAUACAACACAACCAAAAAUUCAGGGUUCUAGAUUUGGGGUGGGAGGUGUUUGGAUAUGGUGGUGAAGUGUUUGAAGUGGUGUUUGAUAAUUUAAGAUACUGGUGGGAAUCCGAUUGAUAAGGUAUGUUGUAGAGACAACUCUUCGCCCUAAAAUUAUUGUGGCAUAUUGGCACCAAAGAGAGAGGCACGAAUGACUUCCAAUAAGUGUCUGUUCUUUCUUUCAGCCACCCCAUUUUGUUGGGGAGUGUAAGGGCAUGAGCUUUGAUGUAUGAUGCCCUGAUCUUGUAAGAACUGGUUAAGAUCAUGGUUAAGAAAUUCUCUGCUAUUUUCAGAACGAAGAACCUGAAUUCUGGUAUGAAACUGAGUAUCCACCAUUUGAUAAAAUUGUUGAAACCUGGAACUGACUUCCCUUUUUUUUUUAGAAGGGAAACCCAAGUCAUGCGUGUGUAAUCAUCUAUAAAUGUGACAAACCAUUGCGCCCUUGCCGGAGUGGCAAUUUUACCAGGUCCCCAAACAUCAGAAUGAACAAAGGAAAAUGGAACCAAAUGUAACACCCCGACUCCAAAUUUAAUUAACUAUUUAAUUUAUUAAGUGAAAUUACAAAUUUACCCAUAGGGUAAGGGUAAUUUGGUCUUUUUUAAAUCCCGAAGGAUUUUGCGACAUCGAGUGAUAUAGUGGCGUAGGUCAUACUGAGAUGAGUCCAUAGACAUGCGGUAGGCUUGAAUCGGAGUUGUAACGAAGAAAUGGCGACCAAAAGAAGUCCAGUGACAAACUUGUAAAUAUUUCAAAUUUGGGAGUAGAAAAAUCAGAAACCUUUUUUCUCUCUCCUCCAUGCGUCUUCUCUCUCUCUCUCUCUCUCUCUCUCUCUCUCUCUUCAGCCUCUCUCUUUCUCCGACGUCCUCUCCCUUUCUCUUCGAUUGUCUCAACUCAGGUCACGACAAGGGCUGGCGCUAGUCUUGUUCGAACCGGCUCGACCUCACCGUUCAAACCCACCCGUUUUCCUGACUGGAAAAACUUGAAUCCUGCCGGCAAUAUCGACUAGUUCAAUCAGAGAUUUUUCCUGUUGUUGCGCCGCUGCCUCCGCCGCUCGAUCUCGGUGAAAAAGGUGAGGGUUCUUCCUCUUUUUACUUGCUCUAGCUGUUUCUGGGGUAGGAUUGGAUCGAUUUUUCGUGUAGGAGAAUGAUUUCGAAAACAUAGGUUUUGGCUGAAUUUCAAAGGGAAAUUACAGCCGGUUGCCUUCCGAAUUGGACCUCCUCGUAGUUGAAUAAAUUGAUCCUCGCCUCGAGUAGUAUCUAGGGUAGAAAGGGAGAAUCACAGUAUGGAGUUUUUCCGUCGUCGAAAAUUACUCUACACACCCAUACGCUGGCGGCGCUUGGGCAAGGUGAUGAGGCCACAUUUUUAUCUUGUUGUAAUCCUUGUGUUGUCACGAGAGCGUAGGUGUGCUCGGAUUUCAAUUUGGACGUCGUUUAACUAACGAAAGAAUUUCGCAUAUUGUGCGUUAUCCGGGUUCAAUAGGUUUUGACCGUUGGAUCGCUUCCAAAUUAAAAUAUGUUAAUUUAGGCUCUCCUAGAAUCGUGUAGGAUUUCGUGGAUCGUGAAUCGGAACCCCGGAUGUUCCGUUUCAAUAAUUCAAAGUUGUGGUUUAUGAUAACCGUCAUUUUCUGAUUAAACUUUCAAGACGUAAUUCCUAACUCGUAGUCAGACCUUAGAAUACUUCGUUCGACGUGCACGCACUGGGAACAUGGAGAAAUUAGUAUUUAAUUUGUGGAUUCUAUUUCAAAGUGAUUUUAUAUUAAUUGAGGGUUCGUAUCUCAAAAUAGGUGCUCCAACCUCUCGUACCUAGCAGGCGGGACCCUCCCAGGGUCGGGCAGCUUGGGACUAUUUGUGAGUGGGCUUUGUUUUCAAUCAUACGCAUGGUUUUAUUGAUGAAAUAUUUAUGCAUAUGUUUUAAAUGGUAUAUGGGAUAUAAUAUAUAUUUGGUUGUUGAAUUUGAUGUUCUUAUAAGCUUUGGUUAUAUAUUUUGGGUUUCAACAUAUUUGGGUAUCAUGAGUAUGUUUUUAUGGAUUUUUGGGAAAUUCUAUCUAUAUUGAAUAUGUGUGGGGUACUUGGGUUGUUGAGGUUAGAUUGUGGAAGAAUUUGAGUAUGAGGGGUUGUUGAGAGGAGAUGUAUGAUUACACCAUGUAAGUACCAUCCCUUAAUUAUUAGUCUCACAAGUGGCAUUGGUAGUUCCGGCGUGUGAGACACUUCCCAUAUGUAGCGUUGGUAGUUCCGGCGUAUGGGAACACUAUGUACAUUGCUUGGAAUCAUCACACAUGGCAUUGGAAGUUCCGGUGUGUGAUGAUGUAGUCUGUGCACGUAGGACUUAGUCAUGGAGCUACACGUGGCGUUGGUAUUUCCAACGUGUGAGUUAUGGAGUUUCAUCCCCUGGUUGGACCACUCAUCCCUAGGCAUAGGAUAGCACCUGAAAAUCCUGCGGGCUAGCCAAACAAUCCCCCGGUUGGAUUGUUUCCCCGGUACCUAGGUAGUGUGAUAAGUAUAUUGUAUAUUUAUAUUUAUAUAUUUAUAUCUGUAUAUAGGUGUGAGUGUAAAGCAAUUAGAGUAUAUGUAGUGGGUUGGGAAGAGCAGUAUAAUUUUGGGAAUGAAGUUUAUGGAUUGAGUUUUGUGGUUUUAAAAGGGUUUCAAAGAUUAAUGGUUUUGAAUAUUAAAUAUGAGUUAUGAAUCUGCAUGCUUUGGGUAUUAUUUUUACACGGUGGGGUUAUUAUGUUGUUUUAAAUGCAAACUUUGUUUUUGUUCACUCACAUGUUUUCUGUUUUGGGCCCCCCAGACAGUAGUCGCUUAGAGGAGAAUUUCAAGCCGUGUUCAAGACCUCGAAUCGUGAUCACCACUAGAUUAGACUUCGAGUAAUUUCUUUUUACUCAGCUGGUUGUCCUUGUAAACUAAAUUCAGUAGAUGCUCUGUUAUUGCCCAUGUUAGGUUUUAUUUGUGAGGGCGGAGGCCAUUUGGGGUUUAUUGUAAAAUGUUGAAUGCAUGCUGCUGGUUGAGAUUAUUUUGUGAUUGUUAUGUAGGUUUAAUUUUGUUGGGUUUGUUCAAUUUAGAGGGAAGACUCUACCAAAAUUUUGGUAGAAUGUCUCGGGUUUUUAGUAAGUGGGCUUGGCAUCGGGGUGAUGUCGGAAUUAAGACGGGAUUCAUCCCAAUUUCUGAGAAAAUUCGUGGCGGGUCCUGUUAAGCUUGGUAUUAGGGCCACUCUGUUGUGUGGUGCGAGUGUAUCGACGAGGACGUCGGGCCCCUAAGGGGGUGGAAUAUAACAUCCCACAUCGACCAACGGAGAGGGGGUGAUAUGCCUUAUAUGUACAUGCCCACCUCCAUCUAGCACAAGGCCUUUUGGGAGCUCACUGGCUUCGGAGUCAUGGGAACUCCGAAGUAAGUGAGUUGGGGCUAGGGUAAUCCCAGGAUAGGUGACCUAUUGGGAAGUUGUUCGUGAGUUCCCAAAGACAAAACCGUGAGGGCAGAGAGGGCGGUCCAAAGAGAACAAUAUCGUGCUACAGCAGAGCCGAUCUCGGGAUGUGACAUGAGAUGUGAUAUGAGAAGGUGAGGAAUUUGAUGUAUGAAUUGGAUUUAAGAGGUAUGUGUAUAAGAUUUGAGGGUAGGGAUUUGGAUAAAAGGAUUUGAGGACGUUAGAUUUGAGGGAUUUGGAUUUGGGGAAAAUUAUGAGGAAUUUGAUUUAGGGUUUUGGAUUUGAAUAUGAGAAAUUUGACAUAAGAUCGAUUGCUCUAACACCAUGCUAAAAUAUGAAUAUGGUUUGAAUGUAUUAGGUUUAAAUUAUAUUCUUCUCCAUAAGGAGGUAUAUAUAAGAUUUUACAUGAGUGCUUUACAAGGAAACCGAUACUGUAAUCAAUUAGGAUAGUAUCUCCUUGAUUAAUUAGGAGACUUACAUCAACAGUUUUCACCCUCCCUUAAAUUGAAAAGCAAUUAAGUUUUGAAUUUAAAGACAAACUUCAACAGAUCCUCAGCAAUGUCCACAUCUUUACGAAUGCCUCCAACUUUAAUGGCUUAGGAUAUUAGCAACCUGCAUAUUGCUUGGACAGUGCUCUAACUCAAUUACUUCAUUUUUGACAAGAUCUCAAAGGAAAUGGAAUCUGACAUCAAUGUGCUUGCUCCUCCCAUGCAUUACUGGAUUUCUGGAUAGCUUAGUAAUAGAGCUCUUGUCACAAAAAAUUCACAGUAGGCCUAUCUUGAUUAAAACACAAUUCUACGAGCAACCUUCUUAGCCAAACAACUUGACAGGCACUUGAAGUUGCAGCUAUGAAUUCAGCUUCUGUUGUAGAGAGAGUGACAACUUGCUAUUUUUUCACUGACCAAGAGACAACUGUUGAACUUAGCAUGAAUACAUAUCCAGAUGUACUUUUCCUAUCAUCAAGAUUACCUGCAUAAUCACUAUUGCUGAAUCCAAUUAGCUCACCCCCAGCUUUCUUCUUGUUUCUAGUUUCCUUCUUGUAGAAUAGACCAAGGUCUGCUGUUCCUUUCAAAUAGUGAAGCACUCUUUUAGCUGUCUGAUAAUGAAGUUCACUAGGUGAUUCCAUGUACCUGCUAAUAAGGUUCACAUCAAACAUCAAAUUAGGUCUGAUAGCAGUUAAGUACAUUAGGCUUCCUACUAUCUGCUUGAAGUGAGUGCUAUCGACUCUUUCUCCUCCCACAUCCUUGUUAAGCUUUGUUCCUGGAACUAUAGGAAUUUGGACAAAAUUGCAAUCUUCCAUGUGAAAUCUUUUUGAGAAUUUCCUCAGCAUAUUUCUUCUGUCCAAUAAAGACCCCAUUGCUUGUUUGCUUCACUUCAAUUCCAAGAAAAUAGUGCAUUUUUCUAAAGUCUGUCAUCUCAAAUUCUUCCAUCAUGGACCUCUUGAAUUCUUUGAACAUAUCUUCAUUAUUUCCUGCGAAAAUUAGAUCAUCCACAUAUUACAAUAAGAAUCACACAUUCUUUACCAUGCUUGAGAAACAAAAUGUGCUCGUAUGGGCACUUGGUGAAUCCAGCUUUCAAGAAGUGUGACUCUAUACGACUAUACCUGUAACAACCCGACCCAAAUUUAAUUUCUAUUUUAAUUUAUUUAAAGUGAAAUUACGAAUUUACCCUUGGGGUAGGGGUAAAUUGGUCAUUUUUUUAUCCGGAAGGAUUUUGGGAUCACGAUUGGUAUUUUGGGUAGGUUGUACUGAGACGAAUUCGUAGACAUGCGGUAGGCUUGAAACGGAGUUGGAACGAAGAUUUGGCGAUCAAAAGUAAUUCAGUGGCAAACUUGUAAUUAUUUCGAAAAGGGUUAGACUAAAAAUCUGAUUUUUUUUCACUUUUACCUCACACACACUCUCUCUCUCUCUCUCUCUCCCGAUUCUCCCUCUGCGCGCGACCUCCCCCUCCCCCGUUACUGUUCACUGAGACAGAAACCACCACAUCGCCGCCACAUCUGACCACCCCAGCCCUCGAGACCGGUCCCGUUCGACUCGUCGUGAAGCCACGAACUUGAACCACCCAAAGUCCCCGCCGAAAAACGCUAGAAUCGUCGACAGCAUCGACUGGUUCAAACCCGAUUGUUCUCGACGUUGCGCCGUCGUCUCCGCCUUCCUAUCCCAGUGAAAAAGGUGAGGUUCUUCCUCUUUUUCCUUGGUCUAGCUGACUGUUGUAUAGGUUUGGAUCGAUUUGCUGUGUAGGAAAUCGAUUUGAAAACCUAGGUUUUGGCCGGAUUUCAAAGUGAAAUUCCGGCCAGUUGCCGUCCGAAUUGGACCUCUCUGUAGUUGAAUGAUGUGAUCCUGACCUCGAGUAGAAGCUAGGGUAGGAAGGGUGAGCUCGGGUGUAGAGUUUUUCCGUUGUCGGAAUUUACUCUAUACACCCACGCGCUGCCGGCGCUUGUGGCGGCGCGUGGGUGAGGUGGUGAAGUUGUACUUUGUCCCGAUGAGAUCCUUAGGUUAUCACGAGUGCGUAGGAUUUCGCGGAUCUCAAUUCGGACGUCGUUUGACUAUCGAACGAAUUUUCGCAUAUUGUGCGUUAUCCGGGUUCGAUAGGUUCUGACCGUUGGAUCGUUUUUCAAUUAAAAUAUGUCGUUCUAGGUAUUCUUAGGACUUCACGGAUUGUGAAUCGGAGCCCCGGAUGUUCUGAUUCAAUAAUUCAAAGUUUGUGGGUUAGUGAUAACCGUCCAAUCGUGAGCGAUUCCUAAACCUGCAACCGGACCUUAGGACACCUCAUACAACGUACACGUACUGGGAACUUAGGGAUUUAAGUAUUUAAUUUAUGUUUUCCGUUUCGAAGUAAUUUUAUGUUAAUUAAGGGUUCGUAUCUCGAAAUAGGUGCUCCGACUGCACAUACUCAGUAGGCAGGACCCUCUCGUGGUCAAGCAGCGUGGGAAUACUUGUGAGCGGACUUUGUUUUCAAUCAUAUGCAUGGUUUAUUGAUGAAAGAUUUAUGCAUAAUGAUUUUAAUGGUUUAUUGAAUAUAUUAUAUUCAUGGGUUGAAUUUGAUGUUUGUAUAACGCUUUGGCCUUAUAUUAUAGGUUUGGCAUAUUUGGGUAUCGAGAAAAUGUUUUAUAUGUAUUUUGGGGAAGUUAUAUAUAUAUAUAUAUAUAUAUAUAUUGUCUAUAGGUGGGAUACUUGGGUUGUUGAGGUGAGUUUGUGGAAGAACUUGAAUAUGAGGGGUUGUUGAGAGAAGUUGUAUGAUUACACUAUGUAAGUACCUUCCCCGGUUAUUAGGCUUCCUACACGUGGCGUUGGAUGUUCCGGCAUGUGGGAAGAAUAGGUUAUCAGUCUCACACAUGGCGUUGGAUGUUCCGGCGUGUGAGACACUUUCCAUACGCGGCGUUGGAUGUUCGGGCGUAUGGGAAGACUUUGUAUAUUGUUUGGGAUCAUCACACAUGACGUUGGAUGUUCCGGUGUGUGAUGAUCCAGUCUGCGCGCGUAGGACUUAGUAUUAGAGCUACACAUGGCAUUGGAUGUUUCGAUGUUUGAGCUAUAGAGUUUCGUCCCCCGGUUGGACCGCUCAUCCCUAGACACAAGAUAGCACCUGAAAAUUCUGCGGGCUAGUCAAACGAGAUUUGUUUUUGAAUAUUUAAUUAUGAAUUGUAAACCUGCAUGUCUUGAGCAUUAUUUUUACACAGUGGGGUUACUAUGUUGUUUUAACUGCAAAUCUUAUUUUUGUCCACUCACAUGUUUUCUGUUUUGCUCCCUCCCAGUCAGUAGUCGCCCCAGGAAGGUUGCAAGCAAUGUUCGAAGGCCGAAUCAUUUACAUCAGUGGAUUAGGCUUCGAGUAAUUUCCUUUUACUCCACUGUUCUUGUAAACUAAAUUCAAUAGAUGCUCUGUUAUCGCCCAUGUUAGAUGUUGCUUGUGAGGCCGGGGGCCAUUUUGUAUGUUUUGUUGUAUGAUGAAAGCAUGCUGCUGGUUGAGAUUAUUUUUAUGUUUGUUGCAGGGUGAUAUUUUUGCUGGGUUUGCUCAAUUACAGGGGAGACUCUACCAAAAUUUUAGUAGAAAGUCUCAAUUUUUAGUAAGUGGGACGGGAAUCGGGUGAUGUCAGAACAACAAAAGGGUCCACUGCAGUUUCAGGGAAAUUCCGAGGCAGGUCUUGUCAAUACCAAGCUCUUGGAGCCUACUUUAGUCCAUAUAAAGCCCUUUUUAAUAUGUAGACCUUCUGUUCUUUCCCUCUUUGCACAUAUCCAGGGGGUUGAUCGAUGAACACUCUUUCAUUGAGCUCUCCAUAUAAAAAUGCAGACUUUACAUCAAGUUGAUAGAUUGACCAAUCAUUUUGUGCAGCUAAGGAUAUAACCAAGCGUAUGGUAUCAUGACGAAUCAUAGGGGCAAAUACUUCUGAAUAAUCAAUACAAUAUUCUUGAGUAUAACCUUUAGUUACUACCUUGGCCUUGUAUUUGUCAAUCUCUCCAUUUUCUUUGAAUUUGGUCUUGAAUAUCCACUUCACUCCCAUUGUUUUUUCUCCUUCAGGUAAGUCAAUCAACUCCCACGUAUCAUUUCUUUCAAUAGCUUGUAUCUCCAAGUCCAUGGCUUUUCUCCACUUUGAACUCUUCACAGCAUCAUCAAAAGUAGUGGGAUCAUUCCUACCAGUCAAAGCAAUUUGAGCAAUGUUCUCAUUAUCUGAGAGCUCAUUACCGCUCACAUAAUCUGUUGUCCAGCCAGGGGGUCUUCUCUGCCUUGAUACAUUUGGUGAAGCUUCAUUAAUUCUUGGUGAAUUGUGUCCAUCAGGUUCAUCUUCUACUUCCCUAGAUGUGACUUCUUCAACACCAUUCACUGUUUCAAUUUCUUCAAGAUCAACACCAGCUCUCUUUUCUUGUUUAUUGUUCUAGUCCCAACCAUUAGCUUCAUCAAAUACCACAUCUCUACUGAUUAUGAUUUUUUGAGUCUCUGGAUUGUAUAGUCUGUAGGCCUUUGACUCUUCACUGACUUCGAGCAUCACACAUUUUUUGCUCUUAUCAUCAAGCUUGGUUCUUAGAUUGUCUGGAAUGUGAACAUAAGCCAGACAACCAAAAACCUUAAAAUAAUUCACUUGAGGUUUUUUGCCACUCCAUGCCUCCUCUGGUGUUACACUCUUCACAGCAUGAGUAGGACAUCUGUUUAGGAUGUGUGAGCUCCAAUUCACAGAUUCGGGCCAAAAUUUCCUUGGCACCUUCAUUCUUGCUAGCAUGCUCCUUACCAUGUUCAUAAUGGUACGAUUUUUCCUCUCGGCCACACUAUUUUGUUGUGGUGAGUAAGUUGCAGUUAAUUGCCUGUGUAUACUAUUCUUCUCACAGAAAUGAACAAAAUCAUUGGAAGUAAAUUCUCCACCCCUGUUAGUUUGAAGAGCUUUAAUAAACACACCAGUUUCUUUUUCAACAGAGGCUUUAAAUUUCUUGAAAACUACUAGAGCUUCAGACUUCUCAGUAAGGAAAUAUAUCCAUGUUUUCCUACUAAAAUCAUCAGUAAAGGUUAUGAAAUACCUUUUGUUGCUGUUGGAGAUUGGGUUGACAGGUCCACAUAUGUCAGAAUGAACCAAUCCAAGUAUUUGUGUGGCUCUCCAAUUGCUCUCCUUAAGAAAUGGCUCACGAUGUUGCUUUCCCACCAUACAUUCUUCACAAACUUUUGAAGGAACUUGCAGUGGAGGAAGACCUUUCACCAUAUUUUUUUGUUGGAGUGCUUUAAGACCAUUGAAGUUUAGAUGUCCAAAUCUGUAGUGCCACAACCACAUGUCCUCUUCUACUGUAGAUUUGAAACACAUUUGCUUCUCAGCUACUGAUUCAGUUUUGAGUAAAAACAUGCAAUUGGAGGUCAUAUCAGCUUGAAUGAUCAAACCCUUUAUUAGGAUGAUGAAUCUAACAAGAGUUCUUUUGAAUCAAAAUGACAAUUCCUUUCUCUUGCAACUGACCAAGACUGAUCAUAUUGCUUUUUAAUUCUGGAACAUAAAAUACCUCAGUUAUACAGUGCUUCACUCCAUUGACUUCAAUCCUUAUGUUGCCUCCCAUUACACUAAGACUGGAGUUGUUUCCAAGCUUCACAUUAUCCCUGAAAGAUUCAUCCAUUUUCGAAAACAACUUCUUACUCCCACUCAUGUGAUUGCUGCAUCCAGAAUCCAAGUACCAAGUGCUACUCAUUUAAUCACCUUCAUCUUCAACAUAUGCCAUCAGCAACAUUUGUUCCUCAGUCUCUGCCACAUUAGCCUUGUACUCCUUCUCCUUCUGAGGACAUUCAUACUGAAAAUGUCCAAGUUCAUGCAGUGGUAGCACUCCACAGUUGAUUUGUCAAAUGAAACUUGUCGGCCUCUCCCUCCUCCACGACCUCUGAAACUGCCUCAACCUCUUCCUCUUCUUGGUGAAUAAGUCUCUUGACUAACCUUCAAGGUUUGCUCUUCCAUUUCAUGACAGUUCAUGUACCAGCAGACUACUUUGCACUUCAUCAAUUGAAAGGGCAUUAAUAUCCUUUGACUCUUCAAUUGAAUAUACAUCAUAGUUAUACUUAGGUGUCAUAGACCUGAGAAUCUUCUCAAUCACAGUUACAUCUUCCAUUUUAUCUCCAUGUAUCCUCAUUUUACUUGCAACAGUUAAUGUUCGAGCAAAAUAGUUAGUGACUGUUUCUCCAUUCUUCAUUUGAAACAUCUCGAACUCUUUGCGAAGAGCUUGCAGUUGUGCACGUUUGACUCUAGCCGUGCCUUGAUACUUUUUCUUCAAGGAAUCCCAGAUAUCCUUUGCCGUGUCCUUCUUCAGAAUUAUCUCCAAAAUAGCUCGAUCAAUGGCUUGAAACAAGUAUUUCUUGGCCUUUGAGUCUUUGAGCUUUUGAUCUUUUAAGGUUUUGAGUUGAGCUUCUAUCAACACCGUUCCUCCUGCAUAUGCUGUGAUUCCAUUCUCCCCGAGACUCCAGUAUUCUUUAUAUCUCAAAAAAUUCUCCAUUAACAUACUCCAAUGGUCAUAGUGACCAUCGAAGCGUGGGAUUGAUGGUUGAAUAAAGCUACUUCUUUCAGUUGACAUUGAUACUUGAUACGACAAGAGUUGCUGCUUUUCUUUGCUCUUCAGGCCCCAAUUUGGAGCUCUAAUACCAAUUGUCGAUAUCUAACUUUGAAUUGAGAGAAUGCAAUAGUUUAUUGAAUGGAAAGUGGCUUUUAAAUAGCCUUACAUAACAGAAAGCAGAAGAACACGAUCCCAUGACUAACAGUCCCUGAAGUCAAGGGAUCCUCCUAAAGAAAAAUUCAAACCUUAUCUACUUCCUUAAAACAAGGUUUAUUUCAACUAAAACUAAACAACUUUAACAAAUAGUAAAUAACAACUUUUCAAGACCCACAUGGAUUGACAGGACCCGACCCAAAUUUCAUUUUGGAAUCCGAGCCGAACCCUGCGCGUGUCCAACACCUGGGGAGUGCCGAGCAAAAAUGACAUGUUUGCCCUUCUAUUCAAAAUUCAAUUUAUUUCAGGUUUAACUUCUGCCGAAAAUUCGGCAGAGUCUCCCCUGUAAAUUGAACAUUUCCCAAAAUUUUCACAUGUCAACAAACAUUUAGAUAUCCCAAUCAUUCAGCAUGCAUAAAGUAUACCCAAGCAAAUCAAGCAUCAUAUUAUUCUGGCCUCAGGCCGCAACAACUCAAAUAAAUCAAUUUGCUAAUAAAAUUCAUCUCAACUUUCAGAACAACAAUAAUACAUUAGCAAUCUCAAACAUUCUAACUCGUGGCUGUACCUUUUAACCAUAGGCUGCCUACAUACCCUUACUGAGGGAUCAAGCCACACGUAGUUCUCAUAUUUCACACAGCUUCAUGUUCCUAACUUCUUAGCAUUACUCACUUGGCAAUAUAUAAUUAAAUGAAUGAAUAAAAGUAUUUGGAUUCAGGUAAUCGCACUUUGGUAGCCAUAACUAUCCAUUUUCUCGUGACACCAUUGGUGACACAUCCUGCCCAGUAAUCCUCGCUGGACUCAGGAGACAGCUGGUCAACCUGAUCCGCAAUCCUCGCUCCUACGGUCCAGAUAACUCUAAGACUCGUGGGGCAAAAUGCUAGAAAAACUCGAGCUAUUUAAUACUAUAUCAAAUAAUAAAAGAUAAAGAUAAAUAAACAUAAGAAAAUAAAAUAACAUACAACAAGUUAAAAAUUAACAAACUCCGAAGACCCUUGUAUCCUUGUAUUGAAACUCACAUAAGGUUUAUAAAUAAAUAUAUAUAUAUAUAUAUACAUAUUUACAUAUCAACAACUUAAUUAGGAUCUAUAUAUAUAUAUUUAUUUCCAUUCGUCACUAGUAAAACAAAUGUAACACUUAAUAAAAUAAUGGUAGCUGUAUAAAAUCCUGAAUUUAGUUUAAAAGCAUCUCAGAACUUAAAUUAUCUCCACCUAGGCGUACCCCCCAUUUCUGAUCCGUCAAUUCCUUUAAUACUGUCAAUUCUAUCCUCGCAGGUCUCGGAAAUAUAGAGUUAACCGAGCCUCAUUCCUCGCAGGUCUCAGAGAGAACACUUCAAUCUGAGCCGCAAUCCUCGCAGGUCUCAAAGAUAACACUUCAAUCUGAGCCGCAAUCCUCACACCACACGGUUCAAGAGUCCCUGAAACUCGUGGGGCACUAUCAAAAUAACCAAACUGUUUCAAAGUAACUAGGGGGCACCCUCAUGGUGAGUUUGAAAAUCAUAACCCGUCAUUUAUAUCAACUUUCAAUAAACUUGUUCUCAACUAAACUUAAAAUAUAUAUACAUUUAUAUGCCACAAUCUGAUGAAAGCCAAGUGCUAUGAUUCAUCCUUUUCAACUAAUGAAUACACAUAUAUUAAACACUUAGCUAGUAUGUUAGCCAUACCGAUCUCUGAUUAACAAACCGUUCAAAUAUUAUAUGAAUAAUCUUAUGACAUAAUUAACCAUAUGAAUAUAUAAGCAUGUGAUAAAUUAAUAGAUAAUUAAAUACUCAUCCUGAAUUCACAUAAAAUCAAGAAAUUUAGACCAUAAAUAAACCAAUUGAACACUCGCACGCACAUGAACUUUCUAAAAGCUUAAACAUAUUCUAUGGAGCUCAUCCUCAAUAUUUAAUCCAAAAUCCUAGCCCUGGGCUCCUAAAAGUGCGUGUAUUGAAUUGAAGGUCAUUCUCAAGCCUAUGUAAGCUUUUCCACUUAUUAGGAUGAUCUAUAAGUGCCUCGGGACUCAAAAAGCCAUAAGUCCCAAAAAGUCAACCCUGGACCCCGUGGGGUCCACAACCUCAAAAUUUGGAUUCGAGAGUUCCUAGAGGUUCUAACAUGCCUAGGACAUAUGUCUCGAGAGUCUGGUCUCGAUCGGACGGUCGGACUACUCACGAUCGCACGAUCGGACGGUUAUUGUAAACCUAGCCCUAGGGUUGGCCUUUUCGGAUUAUCCGGGAUGCCGAUUUACAAUCCAUCGAAUCCUACACGAUCCUAGAAUUGUCUAGAUCAACAUAUAAGAAAUUGAUUGAGAUCCAAUGGUUCAAACGUAUCGAACCCAGAAAUCGCACAAUAUGUGAGAUCCGUUUGGGGUUCAAACGUUGUCUGAAUUGAGAUCCGUGAAUUCCUAGGCGCUCGUGACAACAAAAGGAUAAUUUUAGAACAUAAUGUCGAACCAUUACCCUGUCCACACGCCGCCACACGCGGCGGCAGCACGUGGGUGUCUAGAUAAAUUUUGGUGACCAGAAAACUUCAAGGUUGAAGGCCAAGCUUCCUACCUUACGUAAAACACCUUAUUUGAAACCACUUUUGUUCGGACUUACCCCAAAAAGCGGCCGGAAUCGAAGGCCGAAACUGGCCAAAAGUUCAAUCGCUUAAUCAACCAAUUAAACGUAGAAUUUUUUCAAAAAUAUCAAAAUCAGAAGCUAGAACACGUUGAAAGGAUAGAAAAACAUACCAAAAUUCGAAAGAUUUGGUGGCCGGAGGCGUCCGAACGAGUUCCCGAAAGUUCAUUAAAAAACUGACCAACACCGCUUGUUUCGGGGCUGAUUCCGGCGACCACGCCAGUGGAUCAAGGCUGGGACCGGUCGGGAAUUGAAUAGGGAAGUGAGGUGGUUCUAGCGGGACCGGUGCUGCCAAGAGUGGAGGUGUGCACUGGCGGUGGUGGAGGAGAGAAGUUGGUUGGUCGUGAAGCUUCCGAGGGGAGGAGAAAAUCUGGGUUUUAAAACUGAACUUUGAAAUAUUUACAAUUAUGACACUGAGCUUCUUUUGAUCGUAACUUCUUCGUUACAACUCUGAUUUGAGCCCAUUGUGUAUCUAAUGGACUCAUCUCGACGUGCUCUAUGCAACGGUACAACUGAAAUUUCCAAAUUCCUUCCCAGUCAAAAAGUCAACUUUUUCCCUAAUAAUUAAUUCUAUGGGCAAAAUUGUAUUUUUCUCUAAUAAUUUAAUAAUUAAAAAUUAAUUAAGGACCGGGUUGUUACAUGGAUGGCGCCUUCAGAGUGGAGAAAUAUUUCAAGUGCUUCUCACUCCUGCAAUCAAAUCCAUAGUGAAGGUCAAUGGCAGAAUUGUGUGACAGAGUUGAUACACGAUGCACCAAGAUAUCACGACGCAGGUGAAGAAGAAGAAGAAACUGGUUUGCACUGUGUUGGACUCACUUGUUCUAUUCAGCGAGAGUGCUAUUUUGCGAACCAAUUUUCAACCUCACUAUAUUAGAAAAGCGAGUGAGCCCAUUUUUUAACCAUUGGACUAUACAAUCCCAUUGAAGUUAGUCCAUUCUCAAAUCAAACAUGGAUUUAAGUAUUAGGCUAAAUUGUAGCUAUGGUCCCUGGACUAAACCCCAACUUUAUUUUUCGUCCCUUACAUUGUUAAAUUGUUACUGUGGUACUUUAAUUAGAUCUCAUAUUGCAUUAUUGGUCUUUCUGUCAAUUGAGUUAAAUUUUCUGUCAAAAUUAAGGGCAAAUUGGAAAAUUCAUAAUUUCUCUCUCUCUCUCUCUCUCUCUCUCCCUCUCUCUCUCUCUUUCCUCUGCGCUCUCCCACUUCCCCCUGAUGAUUUCUUCUUCCCCCAACCCUUGCACUCACGAAUUGGGGAAUUGAAACAGAUAAAUGGCAUUGCCUUGCGAUUAGGUCCAAGCUAGACGGCAUUGCGUUGUAUUUAGGGCUAGAGCCAUUGUUGAUGAUGAACUCGGCUGAUUUAACAAAUAUGGGGUUGAUUGAGAUCGCUAGAGGGUGCUGCAAAUCACUUCCCCCCGAUGAUUUCUUCUUCCCCCAACCCAGCACCCACGAACCCAGAACCCUCAACCCUAGCCCGGGGCUGGAAAGAGAGAGAGAGAGAGAGAGAGAGAGAGAGAGAGAUUUGAUUUAUUUUUAUAAUUUUUUGAGUGAAAGGAAAUUUUUGCCCAUGCCAAGUAGGUGUUGUCAUUGCCAUGUUAUUAUUUUUAACGGAAAAGUUGACAGAGAUGACUGUUUCUGAAAUUGGAGGCAUAAUUAAAGUACCACGGUAAUAAUUUAAGGCCCGUCUGGUAACGUUUUCGAAGAAUGUUUUAUGAGAAUAUUUUCAGAGAAUGAAAACAAGAAAAUAAAUUUGCAUUUUCAAGAAAUGAAAAUGCGUCUAGUAGAUUAAUUAGAAAACAAAAACAAUGAAAACGUGUCUGGUAGUACAAUUGUUUUUCAAGUGUAUUUUUGCUAAUUUCAGUUCUAAAUAUUUUUAAAAUUUUGAUAUUUUUAGAGGCUAAAAUUAUUAUAAACAAUGAAAAACAUUACAAUGAAAAUAUGUCUGGUAGUACAAGUUGAUAACAAUAUUAUGUUAGUUAUUUUUCAAGGGUAUUUUUGCUAAUUUAUAUUUUGAAAAAAUAUUUUUAAAAAUGUAUAAUUUAACAAAUAAAAAAUUCUAUUAUUUUUUAAAAGAUAAAACUAUCUUUUAUCUCCAGUCCCGAUCAAGAGAUUGUGGUCACUCACCGUUGGAUAUUAAUCCAAUGGUUCAAAAAAGUUUUCUAAAAGGAGUGCAAGAGUGAGUGAACCGUUGAAUUUACAUCCAACGGUGAGUGACCACAAAUCUCUUGGACCCCUGUAGUCCAAGAGAUCAGUACUGCUUUUAUCUCCGUUCUUUUUUCAUUUUUCUUUUCUCCUUUUUCUCAUUUUCUUUCUUUCUUCCUCUUUUCUUCUUCUUUCCUUCCCAGACCCGUUCCUUUUUCUUUCCUUCUUCCUAUUCUCUACUUUCUCUUUUCUUCUUCCUUCCCUCUUUUUCACUCUCACUCCUCCUUCCUUCCAUGACAUGAAUCCCAUCAACCCACCUCUCUGGUUCCACUAAUUAAUGGUUGUGGUGGUUAGAUUGGGUGGUGAUGGUGGUUGAGCUGGGUAUGUGGUGGCUGGUUUCUCUCAUCUCUCACUCUGCAACUCUCUCUCUCUCUUUUCCCUUUCUCUUCUUCUCCCUCUUUCUGAUUCUUUCUCUUCUUCUUCCUUUUUUUUUUCCCUUUUCUUCUUCCUCUCUGUCUUUUUUUCUUGGUUGCAGAUUUGUGUGACUAUGAGUUUUUUUUUUUCUAGAAAUUUUGGGGCUGAUUAUGGUUGGUUGGAGGAGAUUUGAUUGUUUUGGAUAUAAUUUGAUUGGAUUGUUUGCUCAUUUGAUGGAGAAGAGUUGGCUUUGAUUCAGAUAGACUGAAAACAAAAACGCCGAAAACGAAAACGACUUUCUAGCGUUUUCAACAUUUAUUCAUACUUUUAUUUUCAUUCUCAAAAAAUAAUUUCAGCUUGUUUCUCAAAAUAACCCACUGAACACGUUUUCACGUGACAAUAGAAAACAAAAC